UCUUCGUUGUUUAGCUUUAAGUCCUCUUUUUUUUUUUUUUUUUUGGUUAUUUAGCUUUAAGCCCUCCAUUUCUGGGUUAUAGUACAGACCCCAUUUACGGCCUAAGAAUAAUAAAUUUCUGAGUUGUAGGGAGUUUUUACUAAGUUUUCCUUUUCUUACACUAAAAAUGGAAUAUUUACAAAUGGCCAAAGAACAAAAACAAAACAAAAAAGCAAAAACUAGAAGGAAGCAUUACACACAAGUCAUGGUUCCAGAUACAUGAUUGGAAAAGCAGUAGAUACAUGAUUGGAAAAGCGGUAGGAGCAAGCAACACAAUGACGAACAUCAACUUCCACACUACAAAAGUUGUUUCUAUUUGUUGCUAAUGCUAAUUUGAUAUCACCAACAUGAAUCAUUUCUUCAACCCUUCGACUGAGAAGCAAUUCCUGUUUGAUUGUGUGAGGUUUCCCAAUUUUUCCCAUCAUAAUACUUAACCUCAAUAUGGGUUAGUGUUCCAGGAUCAACACACGUAAAUGUGAUGGAAACGCCAUCAGGGUUGGAGCGUGGAUAAUAAAAUGAAGUUAUCCCACAAACCUUACAAAACUUAUGCUUCGCCGUAUGAGUACCGAAGCUGUAAGUAGUAAGAAACUGUUCAGAAUCACCCAAAAGCUCAAAUCUGUCAGCAGGGACAAUAAAAUGAGUGUUGCCCCUCAUAGAGCAAUUCGAGCAGUUGCAACUCCAAGCCACAACUCCGGUAGGCGCUUGCACUCGCCAUCUUACUUUCUUGCAAUGGCACCCACCUUCAUGCGCUACCAUCUCAGAGUCCAUGCCUCAAGAUUCUAAUUCUUCAACAGGGCCAAUGACUAGGAUUACCUCUUCUAAUUUAUAAAUGCACCCGCUCUGACCUGUCAAGAAACAGAACAUCAGAAAAUUUUGUUGUAAAAUGGAACCCACAUCUGCAAUUGCAAUUUCCAGUUCAUUCAAGUUGAUCUUAUUCUAGUUUCCUCCUGUUCAAUUUCUUCCUUUCUCCUUUUCCAUUCUGAAUAAGAAGACAGUUGAUAUUUCAAAGAUAAAAGCAAUAAUUAGAUAGAUUUUAAAGGGUUAACAACAACAUGAUGGCGCACCUUUCUAGCACACACCCUUGAUUUUUAAAGACCAUUUCUAUACUGUACUUGAUUAUAUGAUCACCUGAGUUCCUCACCCAAACAUCCUCCUUGGCCAGAACUCACUUAUCAAGCCCACCUUCUACAUCACUAAGCCAUAGCUGAUCAGCCACUUGCACUACUUCUCAUCCAAUGGCAAAAUGCUUUGUCACUGAACUCCUUAAACGGAUCAGACAACUAACAUACUAAUCCAGAGAUUAAAAAUUCACAGUUGGAUGAUUCAAUGGUUCAUGAACCAUGUGAUUACAUCCAACCUACCAACCUAUCACACUUGGAUGGACCAUGGCCAACUAGUUCUUGGAAUGCACCCAACCAAACACACGAAACUUAAAGAGGAGAGAAAUAGAAGAGAAAGAAUGAGGAAGGAACAGAGGUGGAAGACGAAAAGGAAGAUUAUGGUUAACUCAAAAAUCCAGUCUACCUUCAACACAAAAUGCUAAGUUACUACUAAGAUCUGGAUAAGGAGGCCCCAAACAAACUUCGAUUAGGAAAUGAAAUUAAAAAAACACACAUCAAAUUAAAGAUUAACUCCAUCAAUUCUCUUUCAUGGAGGCCUAGAGUGUCAAAAUGUGGCUCACACAAGAAAUAAAUAUCUUCUUAGAAUGCUUUCCAAGAAUUGGCUUUUCCUAAUGACUGAUCCUGAUAUCAAAAAAGUCAAAUGGAGGGAAGGGCAUAAAGAACACCCGUUUCUCCUUAAAGCUAAGACCAUCAAACAAGAAUUGUAUAAAACUACUGAGGAUAAUCAUAGAACUAGAGCUUGACUUGUACUGGGAGGGAUUAAAUUCACAAGAAAAGGAACAUGCUUUUACCACAAAUAUAGCUCCCAACUUCCCCAAACUGUCUUAACAUGCCCAACCUUUUAUUUGGGUAAAUUAAUAUGACGCUAGGUUUAUAGAAGGAGAAUCUGCAGAGGGCAGUGGAGAAGACAAUAUUCUACUUGUUUUAUUUUAUUUUAAAUUGUAUUGUGUAUAGAGGAAAUAUAAACUAGAACAUCCAAACUGAAAUCGGUGCUUAGAUACACUUCUCAAAAAAAAUCAAUUAUACAACCGAGAGAGAGAGAGAGAGAGAGAGAGAUGACAGAUUUUCAAUGCAACAGGUUGUGAAGCAGAAAAUGAUAAAGGAAACCCAGAAAUUACCUUACGGGACCAAAGGGAGAGUCAGUUUCAGCCUUCAGCUUUGUUAACUAAAUGACGACAGACACAGACAGCCAAGGUGCUGGUGUUUAUGAUGGUGUGCAUUAGUGUAAUGGUUAACAAGAAACGUCGUCGUUAUGAAGUUUUUUUUUCUCUAAAAAUGUCUCAAAUCAGUGAGUGUUGUAAAUAAUUAGGUGUGGAGCCCACAUGUUCCUUAGGUUUUGCCUACAAAAGGGUUCAUCCCUUCAUUGUAAUUGAGAAACACAGAAAUAUGAAUACAGAAGAGGAACCAAUCCAAGUUUUCCUCUGAUUCUAAAUUCUCUCCAAUUCCUCUUAAUUUAUAACACGUUAUCAGCACGAAUUCGCUCAAACAAUAUCAGCUGAAUUAUCUGAUGAAAUCCAGAUCUCUCAUUCCAUCUCCCUCUCUCUCUGCGCCAAUCAGAGUCAACAAAUUUAAUUUCAAACACCCAAACCAGACUUUUACAACUCUAAGUUUCUGAGCUCUGCUGCUACUGCUUGGAGCAUCAGAGAUUUUUGCAAGGCCAGAAAUGACAAAGGGUUUACCAACGGCCUCGGCAUGCCCAUGGUAGCCAAAUCAGACCUCUCCCAACUAGCCCUUUCUUGCUUGGCACUCUCCAAACUCUCUCCACAGCGCCAAAGCCAUGGGUGUGAAGCCCAGGCAAGAAGACCCUCCACCAUCCUCUGCCAGUGUAGAAACAGUAGAAGAAAUAAUGAAACUCUACAAGUCCCCGCCGCCACCGCUUCCUCCUCGGCAUGACAGGCAGAAAAGUACUCCCCGACGGAAGCGGCGACACCAAGAACCUCAAGCUACUACACCUUUUCCGAUGACCUCCGGGGGCCGUAAUUACUGAAACAAUGGCUGCUAGCAUCGCACAGAUGAUCAACUCCAAAACCUCCUCCGUAGCAUCGCACAGAGAAAAAUCAUAUUUACGAAUUUGGAUCGGAAACACGUGGUGAAGGCGUUGGAUCGUCUGGGAGUGAGAGACUGCUUUGAGCAGAUCAUAUGCUUCGAGACGAUGAACCCGAACCUGCCGAGUUCGACUCGGCCUAACGAGUUUCCGGAGGAGCUGGCCAUCUUUGGCGAGUUCCCACAACUGGUGUGUGCUUGAACAUCAAUCCUAUAUCAGAAUCUAGUGCAUGCCAAUGGUGGGCCGCCGCCAUGGAGGAACGCCGUCACUCACGACGACCCUACCACGUCCUCCAGCCAGAACUGGAUUCUGUAGGACGUCAUCGAGGCCGAGGUCCACCAUUGAUCCACGAUCGGAUCCGUUCAAGAUCUCACCGAAUUCGGAUACAAUACAAAGCCGAAAGAGAAAGAAAGAGCUCUCUCUUUCUCUCUCUCUCUCUCUCUCUCUCUUUCUCUCUCUCUCUCUCUGUCUGCAGGUUUGAAAAGUGAGGGGAAAAGAGAGAGGUGGAAUCUGAGAAAGCGGGCACGCGUGCUGCUUUUGUUUUGUCGUUUUGUAGUGAUGGAAAGUUUGGGGCUUUGAGUUUUUGAGUUGGCUAGCUGGGUACUUUCCUUCCUUUGGUGAAUUAGACGGGUGAGCUUUGGUUGAAGGGUCCCACCAUCAUGAAAGUGAAAGAAGAACAAAAACAAAGGUCCUCUGCUUCCUUAUCUUUCAAUUACUUUAGUAUUAUCCUAUACUAUUUAACUUGCUCUACAGGUGGAAAGGCAGUAGCAAGCUUGAUAUCCAUCUUUUUUUUUUUUGCACAUUUUAUACUAUAUAACUAAUAUAUCAGUAUAACAAUAUUACACUAUUUGAUCGUGGUGUUGAUAAGAACCCACAAAUAAUUGCCUUUACUUUUAUUUAAAUGUAUGGAGCAGAAUUAGUGCCCAUACAUUUAUUAUAUUUACUGUAUGGUGUAGGUUUAUUACCCAUACAGCAGUAUUUAUUUAAAAGGGUGGUGCGGAUUUAUCGUCCACGCCUUUACUUUUAUUUAAAUGUAUGGAGCAGAAUUAGUGCCCAUACAAGCACCUUUACUUUAUCGCAAAUUUACUUUUACUUAAAGUAUGAUGUGAAAUUAACCCUCAUACUUUAUGAAUUUACUUUACCGCACAUUUAAUUUUAUUUAAGAUAUGGUGCGGAAUUAACUUCCAUAUAGCAAGUAAUUUAUUUUAUCUCACAUUUACUUUUACUUAAAGUAUGAUGAGGAAUUAACCCUCAUACUUUAUGAAUUUACUUUACCGCACAUUUACUUUUACUUAAAGUAUGAUGAGGAAUUAACCCUCAUACUUUAUGAAUUUACUUUACCGCACAUUUACAUUUAUUUAAAGUAUGGUGCGGGUUUAUCGUCCAUACCAGUAAUUUAUUUAUCAGCAAUUUAUUUUAUGGAUUAAUUGUGCUGUAUGAUGAGUUUUUACAGUAUACAGAUUAGGACCAGAAGUUCCUUGAUCCUCAUCAUACAAUUACAUCAGGACUUGAAGAUCCUUGAUGAUGAUGUUAAUAUAAGAGCUGGCAGUCUCUCCGGUACUAUAUUUGUAAACAUAUGAUUGGACUUGAGGGUCCUUGAUCCCUGACAUGUAAAUAAGGACCUGGGGUUCCUUAAUGAUGUAACAGUACUGUAUUGUUUCAUAAUGCCGUACACAUGGAUGAUAACUGUACUGGCAAAUGUACUGUCCACAUGAAUAGAUACGUAUUCAUGACUUGAUGAAUAGUACCGGAUAUAUGAAUAGUGACGUAUACAUAAAUAUUAACCAUUUUGGGUAAACCAUCACUAUAUUCAAAAAGGGAACCUGCAGUCCCUUAAACUCAUGAAUGAGCAAUUAAAUGAGAUGCCAGAAGUUCCUCAAGAUAUGGACAAUUAUGUAAGGACUUGAAGUCCAGAAACAUGUACAGAAAAUUGUAAAAAUGUCCAUACCAUGAGAAUAUGUGAUUUUGGCUUGAGGUUCAAAAUCUAACAGUGUUGAGAACCUGAAGUUCCAACAAUUAAAUGGACAACUCUUGAGGUAUUAUUGCAAAUAGUGGUACGCCACAUAUUUCUUUGGCAUAAGAAAAUGAUGAAUUUAAUAAAAUUCGAUUCUGUUAUAAUCGACACCUCAAGUAAGAAAUAUAUUUUGUGAAUUCCGGUUGUUAAGAAUACACCGUGAAAUGGAUAAUAUCAAUAUAAAUCUCAAAUGAUGAAUUGAGGCUCCCCACAUAUUUUGAUAUAUCUGGGGCGGAAGCACAUGGAUUCAAAUAUAUGAGAAAUCCCGAAUUUGAGAUUGUGGGUAUAUAGUAGUUAAUGCUCUUCACUACUAUAUUGCGAUAUUAUCGUAGCUUUUACUCAAUUCAUAUUUCAUGUCCAUUUGAAAAGGGUGAAUAAAUUCUGAUAUUUGUGUUUAGCUCAGGCCAAAAGUUCCAUACGUUGAAAUAUGAAAUUUGGGAGAGUCGAUGUGGUUAUUUGAACCUAUAAGGCACAAGGUUCCAAACCGUCAUUUUGAAAAGACGUAAAAACCACAGGUGCAAGUUUAAGAAUAUGCGCAAUUAUUAUAACAGGAACAUACAACAGAUAGAUUUUUUCCACCUGCAAUGAAGGUGCAGGCCCUGUAAAAUCUAUAAAAUUACAUUAUGUUCUGGAAGCCUCUGAAGGAAGAGGACGACGCCUCUUAAGCUUAGCCACGAGCCUCUCGUGGUCUCCCAAAAUUCUUUCAUUGGAGACCUGCAGCAUGUCUAGCCUUCUCAGUGUAUCAACAGAAUACGAACUCACCAGUUUCAACAAGGCAUUAUUCUCUUCUUUAAGUUUCUCAACCUCCUGUUGAGACUCAUGAAGCAUUCUUUGGAGAGACGAAUUUUCAGUUGUUAAAAUCUGAACCUCGUUUGCUCUAGCACGCAAACGAUCAGCCAUGUUAGAAACAGAAGCAGCACUCUGAAUGCUAAAAGCCAUUGAGUCAUCAAUAGCCUAUUCCUCUGAUCUCCCUGUUAACAGCAUUUCAUCCAUUGGAGUAAUGAAAUUCCUAGCUACUAUGACAGCAGUAGCAUCAUUCAUCAUCAUAGAAUCAUUAACUGUGAGAUGACGAUUUUUGGAUACAAAGGAUGGACGCCAGACUUUUGCAUCACUGGCUGUUGUGGGAGUAUCAUUUAAAUUGAAAUAAUUUAGGCAUGAAGAAGAGGAAGCCAUUUUAAGAAGGUUUCGAAGAAAGUCUUAAGAAAACUAAAGUUUCAGAAAAUGAAGGAAGUUGAGUUGAAACGCAGUUGCUCCAAUCAAGUUUUGCAAAGGCAAUAUCUAUAGGAGGAAAUAUGGCUACAGUUUUUUCAGGAUCCCAACUUUUCGGAUCCCCAUAUUCUCUUUUUCUUUCCCAGAUUCCAAAACUUCACGUGGCCUCCAUUAAUGUUUGUCGGCACUUUCGGCGUUUUCAAAAUAUUAUUUUCGUCAAAAGCCGAUCUUGCUUUACGGAUUUCACGGAGCUAUUUUUUCAAAAGUACCCCGAGAAUCUCGCAAUUUUCCUAUGGUUAAUUUGAAAUUCACCGGUUCUACCUAUUCCUCUUAUUUGUGUAUAAAUGUGUUACUAACGAAAUUUUCUUUGCAGAAGACAUCCAGUUUUCUCCACACCUAGUGAUGCGAUAUCUAUUUGUUUUUCUUAUCAGUGAGCACUUAAUAUGCCCGAGAAGCAAGACUAUCUCUGAUCAUCCAUUCAGGAAGCGAUCCUGAUCACGUUUCCGCCACAUCAGGGAACUGUGAAGGCAACCUUAUGCUCUAAUCUCCGGAAGUUCUUCUAAACUAGAAGAAAUGAGAGCUGGUUGUUUGCUCCCACCAGCUUCCUUCCUUGAUUGCUGAGCUUGUUGUCUGCUCCCACCAGCUUCCUUCCUUGAUUGCUUACCUUCUCUUGCAAUCAAUAUCACAUUAUUUUUGCAUUUUUUCUCUUUUUAUAACUCUCUGUUCAUAAGAGAUUUUAUUUCUUUAGAAUGAACAUCUGAAGAAAGAAUCUAUGGAGUGAUCCUAACUCUGAGGGUUAUUUGUUUUUGACAUAGAAAAGAGUUGUGAUUUUGCUCUUGCAGGAUAUAACUAGAUCAGCAAGCGCUACAUUAUAUUUACUGGGCCGAUACGAGCUUGAAUGAUACUUGAGAAAAGUUUCUCCCACCUAAGGAUGUAAGCAAUACUUGUGUUAUUUUAUGCUUAUAUACUUAUUUGAUAUUUUAUCUUGAAAGGUAACCAAAUAUGGAGAUAAGUCUGUUCCAAAAGAAUGGCUUGUAUGUAUCCACGAAUUUUUAAUGCAAAUUUUACAGAUUGCAAGUUGGAUACAUUGAUAAUACACUGCACAGAUUAAAGUCUCAUAAGAACAGAAUAUGGGUAUAGCAGUGAUCAAUAUGAUGCACGCCUGUUGCGUAGCAAAUGAUGUGGAUUGAAGUCCCGAAAGGACAAUCCUUUGACAUGUCAAUAUUGAUAUUAUGCACGCCUAAUGCGUAGCAAAUUAUAUGGGUUAAAGUCCCAUAAUAUGGGUUAAGGUCCCAGAAAUUAAUUGACAUGUAUGUAUUAAUCUGUGGCAUGCCUUCAGCAUGACAAAUAUAUGGGUUCUAAAUGUUCCAACUCCCUAAAUGGAGAUUAUCCACGCCCUACUGCUAAAUAACGCUCCAAUGGAGGUUAUAAUCCACAUUCUCACAUAAUAAAAGCCCCAUGAAGUGGCUUGGGUACCCAAAAGCAAAGAAAUGCUUAUAAUUGAUGCAUGUGCAUGCACAUGAGAAUGGUGGGAUCAUGAAUUGAUGAAUGACAAUUUUUGAUCAUGAAUUGAUGAAUGACAAUUUUUGAUUUUGGAGUAGCUACUCAAAUCAUCAAUGGGCUGUGUUGAUUGGAACCACGUUCAAUUAUUAAAUGUCGACAAUAUUAUUGGCCAAAAUGGAAUGAGGUAAUUCCAUUAUAGAUGAGAAUGAACGUGAAAGAACAAACCCACAGUACGAACCCCAAAAGAUGUUAAUACUGAAAUUUAUACUUGGGUGUUCGGAAUAAAAGGGAAUAUACCUACUUUGUAUGACACACUGUUUCUGGCAGAAACAAGGAAUGUUGGGUUUUCUCCAUAUUUACAGAUUCAAUUGUGCCCCCCCUUAUUACACAAUUACGGAGACCAACAUAUUAUCUUUAAGGGUUAUUAAAUGCACGGAGCAUAUCGCCAGAAGCGAUUUCCUAAAGAUAUAUAAAUAGCUGGGUAAAAGCUAUAUAAUGUGUCAUAAAGUUUAAUCCCCUUUAGACAAAAUCCGUUUGAGAGGAUUGACAUUGCAUAAAGCAAGUCCCUAAAGGACAUGUGCUUGAAGCACAAAAUUUGUACUCAAUAUUAAUAUGCAUAAUUUACCUCAGUGAGUACAUUGAUUAUAAUGUGAUUGCAACACAUUAAAGCUUCUGCAGAAUUCAUGAAAUAUUUGCCUUGAUCGAGCAUUAUGCCAACGAGAUUCUUGCUUAUACUAAGAGAGUCUAUCCGUUGGUCCUUAAAUAUUUUUCCGGAAGUAUACUAAACCAGAUAGAGCUCAGCUCCAUCACCACCACUUUAGGAUGGCUAGUCAUAAAUUUUUCAGGGGGAGCUUAGUUUUAAUAAAGACCUUCAUACACUGUACUCUUUUUCCUUUAUCCAGGUUUUUAUCCCACUGGAUUUUUCCUGGUAAGGUUUUAACGAGGCAGUGUCGCUCAAGAUUGACUCACAGAAGCAGUGUCAACUACGAUAUUCAGAAAGUUGAUCAACAGUAUGACUUAAAGAUAUUUUGCCGAGCAUCAGGGGGAGCGUGCUAUCAAUAAAGAUCUUCAAACACUGUACUCUUUUUCCUUCGUCCAGGUUUUUAUCCCACUGGGUUUUUCCUGGCAAGGUUUUAACGAGGCAGUGUCACACGCGCGUCAAUAUACAUAGAAUUUUAUGUUACACAUGAUUAUGUACUCUUUUUCCCUUUGACCAGUUUUUGUCCCACUGGGUUUUUACUGGCAAGGUUUUUAACGAGACAUAUUCCAUAUCAUUUGUGGUCUCCAAGGGGGAGUGUUGUAAAUAAUUAGGUGUGGAGCCCACAUGUUCCUUAGGUUUUGCCUACAAAAGGGUUCAUCCCUUCAUUGUAAUUGAGAAACACAGAAAUAUGAAUACAGAAGAGGAACCAAUCCAAGUUUUCCUCUGAUUCUAAAUUCUCUCCAAUUCCUCUUAAUUUAUAACAGUGAGCUUGUAGAUGUUGACUAUUUAGGUUUCCCAUCUGAUGCCGCUGUUCAUGGAAACCAAAUCAGCAAACUAUCAUAAAUAAGCCAAAAUUUACCCCGAAUUCAUAAAUAUCAAUUUUUAUAAAAACUUUCAAAUAUAACAAAAUUCUCACUUAAAUUGAUUAUCUGUACAAACUUUUUGUUGGUCCGAAUUUUCUUUACAAAUAAGAAUAUAUAAUGGGCAAGGAAAAAGCUUAGAAUGAUGAAGCUGGGGAGUUGCAUCUGGUGAUUAUAGUGACUAUUUAACAACAGAACCAGACAAAAUCUGAAGUAUUAUAAUAAUAAGAAAACAAUCGGCCAAAUUAAUUAGCUCUAGUAUUUUGUAUAUGAAGGAAAAUUUUGAGUAGCAGAAGUGUGACAGGCAUUUUUUUUUUUUUUUUUUUGGCAGACAAAGUGUGGUAGGCUAUAUGAGAAAGUUUAAAGCUUAUGUUUGAUUUGCUUGCCUAUAUGCUGGUUACUGCAGAAAGAGUAUAGCUGUUAUCAUGUAUAUUUCAAUUCCUAAGUCAAAUCAUGUUAAAGAAACGAAGGAGGAAAGACACAGAAAAAGACGAACUGGUUUUUUUUUAUAGGUUUUUAUCUGGGUUUUAAAUUUAAGGGCAUUUAAGUAUUUUUAAUUGCAUUUUUUGCUAUAUUUGAAAUUUUUAUAUAAAAAAUUGACAUUUAUGAAUUUAAUGGGUAAAUUUUGGCUAUUUAUGAUAAAAAUUCAUUGUAAUUUUAAGAUUGUGUUCUCGAAGACUAAGGUAUCAAUAAAAUUUAGACAUUGUCAAAUGAAACCCAAUCCAACUUAAUGGGCACGGGUUUGGUUGGGUUGGUUUUAGGCCAAAUUUGUAACCCAAUCCUCGAGUACUGUAGCAUUUCCCAAAUAUGGUCUAAUACCUUUUUUUUGCUGGUGCCUAAGUUAGGGAGAGGAGGGGUGAAACCCACACACACACACACACACACACACACACACACACACACACACACACACAAACAGUCAUCCAACUAACACCCCAUUAAUGAGAUGGUCUGUUGUGCCCAAGUUUUUCUCCUUUGGCCCAUGGGAGGAGAUGAGAUUAGAAGGCCCAUUGAAUCAAAUUUUGGGCCUAAAAGACAAAAGUGACCAUACCCAAAAGCAAAACCAAAGGGCAAGGCUUACAAACCCAAGCCAUGACUCAAAAACCUCGGCUCGAGUAACAAGGCUUGGCCCAAAUCAUGAAUUCGCCCUAAAGUUUUAGCCCAAUAGACAAAGUUGAAGCUAAAUCGGUCAAAACUUGAUGGUAAACUAGCAAGCACCGAUUGAUAUGAGUCUUCACGUGCACUACCUCAAUAUAUGGACGUUAAAACAUAAGGCAAAAAGAAUGAUAGGAUGUCGAACAACUUCUCGUAACUUGACAAGAAGAAUUAGUUAGGAAAAGGAACUUUGGGACUUGUGAUCGAGGCGAGAAUCAGAAGUAGGAAGGUGGUUCACCCAAAGGAUUGGGCGGUGGUCGAGAGUCUUGUCACCUUUUUAAAGGCAUCAACUUUGUCUAUAAAUAGCAAGACAUUCCGAUUAUUAAGCAUCAUCAAUCUUUCAACAAAAAUCAAGCGGAAAUGCUUCUCAAUGCACUUCUUAAUCAAGUAUUUUUUUACCGCUUGUGUCAGAGUUCUUCAGCACCACUAUUGUAACCAUUCAUUCAAUAUAUCAACAAGUAACUAUGUUUUUCACGGAGUCCGUUUGAGCACCAUACAAUCCAUUUUUCCUCAUAACUCUUUUGAUUCAUUGUGUUUCAAAGGGACUUGAGAGAUCUCUUAGUAGCUGAGCACCAAGCACCAAAUGGCAAAUACUUGCCGUAAAUCUAGUAGUCUUGUUCCCAAGACUAAGAACCCAACAACUGAGAAAAUGUUCCUAACUCGGCCUAAUUUAGGGGUGGGCAUCGAGACCGGAAAACCGGAACACCGAACCGAACUAGUGAAAAAAAAUAAAAAUAAAAAUCGGUUGACCAAAAAAGUCAACAAACCGGACCGAACUGAUUCCAACUGGUUUCGAUUCCAGUUUUACAUCCCACCGCACCAGACCAGACCAAACCGGACCGGUCAUAUAUAUAUAUAUAUUUUUACAAAAUUUUAAAAUAUAAUGCCAUAUUUUAAAUUUUAUAAUCACUAUUUUUCCAAGUUCAACUUCAAAAAAUUUAUAAAUGUAUGAAUUGGAUUAUUUGUUAAUUUUUAACCCAAAAAAUAAGUUAUUUAUUAUUUUUUUUAUAAAAAUAAUUUUUUUUGAAAAAAAUUUAAAAAUUAAUAAUCCGGUUCAAAACCAGAACCGAACCGGUCGGUUUUUGAAAUUUUUUUGUCUAAACCGAAUCGAACCAGACUGGUUAAAUAGUACCGAUUCUCGUUCCGAUUUGAGGUGAGAAUUGAAACGAACCAGACUGCGCCCACCCUUAGCCUAAUCGUUUGACAAAGUCAAGACCAAGACGCUCAUCAUUUUCUUUGUAUUCAGGACCAUCAUAGGCACUGAAAACUGACAUGUGCCGCACAGAAUACCCACCAGAAAGGUCAACAGGUCUAAUACCUGAGAACAUUAAGGGGUCGUCUGGUACAUAGACUUGGCUUGGACUGGCUUAGACUAAAUUUAGUACCAUGUUUGUUUCAUUUAAUUCUAGUCUUAGAUGAGAUUGCUAAUACCGGGCCCACCAAAAAUACCUCCUUAGGAGGGGACUACUAAUCCCAUGUAGAAAGGGAGGAUUAAGCUAGUCCUAUGUUUACCAAUGUAUGAGAUGCAUAUAUUAUAUUGUAAUACUAAUAACAUAUACUACUAUUAUUAUUAUUAUUAUUACAUACAUAUAUACUAUAAUGUACAUAUAUACAUGUAUAUACACAUAUAUACAUAUAUAAUAUAUAUAUAUAAAUACAUAUAGAUAUAUACACAUAUAUUAUUAUUAUAAUAUACUCAUAUACACAUACAUAUUAAUAUUAUAAUAAUAGCAUACAUGUAUACAUGUAUAUAUGUAAUAUAUAUUAUAUUAUAUUAAUAUUAUAAUAAUAGCAUACAUGUAUAUAUGUAAUAUAUAUUAUUAUAAUACAUAUAUAUAAGUAUAUAUACAUAUAUGUGUAUACAUUAUACCCAUGUAUGUAUUAUUAUAAUACACAUAUGUAUAUGUAUAUGUAUUAUACCCAUGUAUAUAUUAUAAUAUAUAGAUACACCUAUAUACACAUAUAUUAUAUACAUGUAUAUAUGUAUAUAUAUAUAUGUAUAUUAUAAUAUAUAAUGUAUAUACAUAUAUUAUAUAUACAUAUGUAUUUUAUAAUAUAUAUAAUAUAUAUGUAUAUACAUGUAUAUUAUUAUUAUUAUUAUAACAUACCCAUAUAUAUCUAUAUAUAUAAAGCAAAAGGCAGAGAAUGGUGAAACAUUCAAAAUACCAGAAAAUGCCCUUGGUUAAUGCAAACAUUAAGAAUUCAAAUUAUUAAUUAAAUGAGGAUAAUAUGGUAAAUUCACACUUUUUCAUAUUUAAAAAAAUUAAAAGAAAAAAAAAAGGCAGAUAAUGGAUCCUAUUUUUAUGGAACACAACUACCCAUUAUCUUUUUAAAAAAAAAAAAAAUCAUUAUCUUUUUUAAUUCUAAAAUAAAUUUACUUAUUUUUUUGAAAAAACCUCUCGCAAGCGCGGAAGCGCGUGCAGAGAGGCUAGUAUAUAUUAUAUAUUAUAAUAUACAUACAUAUAUAUAAAUAUAUGUAUAUGUAUUAUACCCAUGUAUAUUAUAAUAUACAUAUAUACACCUAUAUACACUUAUAUAUAUGUAUGUACGUUUAUAUUAUUUAAAAUAUAUAAUAUUAUUAUAAUAUACAUAUAUACAUGUAUAUACAUAUAUAUUAUAUAUAUUAUAAAAUACAUAUAUACAUAUAUAUAGAUAUUUUUGAAAAAAUAAAAAAAAUUAUAGUCCUAGUCCAAGCAUACACCAAACGCAGGAUAAGUGUUAUCCAACUUAGACUAAGUCAAGUCAAGCCAAGUCAGUCCCUAAGCAUAGUCCAUGUCAAGACAGUCCUGUGUACCAAACGAACCCUAACAUUGCUACAAUUUACCUAAAAUUCAUAAGCUAAUACCCAAGAACAUGGCUAUAAUUUAGGCCCAAAAGUAAUAAUAAUUAUAAAAAGAAAUUAAAAAAAUCAAAUCUUUUACGGCCUGAUUUCUGUUUCCUAACCCGCUCCACUUACUAUAUAAAAUUUUCAUCGCCGACCGCUUCAUAUUUUUUUCUUCACUUUCUUCUCAACCUCUCUCUGGCUGUCUCCUCUUCUCACCUUUUCGACUUGUUCCCUUAUCUGCUUCUUCUUCUCUAUUCCAUCUCUUUCGCUCCCUCCUCAGCGAUCAAGGCCGCCGCUGUACUGCUCCAGGUUUAUAUUUCUCUUCUCUCUCUUAGAACUUUGUAACUAAGAAAAUAGAAAGCAUCUAAGUUCACCUCAGCCCACUUUGAAAUCCCGGUUCCGCCACCGGUUUAAAAGCAGCCAUUUUCAACAAAUUAUUAGUGCUUCAUCAGCUUGGGAAAACAUUUCCUUUUCGAAUUCUCUCUGUACCCAUAUAAACAAAUUAAGUGUUGAGCAUACGGAAAACAUUUACUAUGAAGAUCACUACUUUUCAAUACAAUUUUUAUAUCUUAUGACAAACUUGGAACUCCUUAUACAAUUUUUAUGUAUUCAUAUCAUGUGUAUGUUAUACUCGUGCUUACCGCUCAGAGUUUUCUGUGGAAUGUGUAGGAAGCUUGUGAGGCAUUAUAGUAUUUGGAAGCAAAGAUGCAGGCUUGUGGUGGAGCUGCAGUGAUGGGUUCUCUUCAACAGCCCACUUGGACCAAAGGAACAAUUUUUCCAAACAAGGGGCUUUUCGGUACUGGAUUUUCACAUAAACUAAAGCUCACUUGUGUGAAGCCCGUUAGAUCUUCUUCUUCUUACAUUGAAGGAAGCUUGGUUGCUGGAAGGCCAUCCUCUUCUAUCUCGGUGACUUUGCCUGAAAUUGGUGGUAAUUAUACUCCAACCCUUGAACCAAUAUCAAUUACUUUUAUUUGUUUAUGUUUCCAUUUAUGAUUCAUAUUGAAAAUGUAACUUAAGUUUUUUUUUUUCUGUGAUUUUCUUGGGUAGGAAUACUUUCGAGUAUUGCAAAGGUUAUGGUGUUAUAAUCCUUUUUUUAAUUUCUAUUUCACUUACUUAAAAAAAAUUCCUUUAACUCUGCUUCUACUAGAAUGAUAUCCCAUUAUCAUGCUUGGAUUUGAUGCUCUGCGUAUUCAUCUUUGGAGGUUUUGUAAUCACUACUCAGUAUAACUUCAUAGUUUGAUAACUCAAUUCUUUUUUCAGAAUCAUCCUUAUGAAAAAACAGCUUUAAAAGAAAACAUAUAGUCAGCCUCGAUAUUUCCAACUUCUAAUGAAGUGUGAAAGCAACAUUGGUUAGUGGCAGGAAUUAUGUCUGACUUGUUCAGGAAUUGUACUAUUUGAUUUACAGGUAAUGGAAGCAGUUUUGUAGACAAUGGGUUAAGUGAGGCUGACCCUGAGGUGCGUGCUAUUAUUGAAAUGGAGAAGGAGCGACAGUUCAAGAGCCUUGAGCUUAUUGCCUCGGAGAAUUUUACUUAUCGGGCAGUUAUGGAGGCAGUUGGCUCAUGCCUCACGAACAAGUAUUCGGAAGGAUUACCAGGUAAAAGGUAUAGAUACUCAGACUUAGAGUAAUGUGAGUUCAAUAGGUUCCUUUCAUUAAAAUAAUUAUGCUUGGUGUAGCUCACUGUUUGAUUAUACAUUUCAGGUACUAUGGUGGCAAUGAGCACAUUGAUGAGCUUGAAACACUUUGCCAAAAAAGGGCUCUAGAUGCAUUUCACUUAGAUGGAAAGAAGUGGGGUGUUAAUGUUCAACCAUUAUCUGGUUCUCCUGCUAAUUUCGAGGUUUAUACCGCAGUUCUUAAACCUCAUGACCGUCUCAUGGUAAGUUGUCCUCUUAGCUUUGUAUUACUCUUACUUAUUGGUAGCUACUAACAUGUGCCUGUAACUUAGGGUUUGGACUUGUCUCACGGAGGACAUUUGUCUCAUGGUUUCAUGACUCCUAAAAGACGUGUAUCAGGCACAUCCAUUUAUUUUGAGUCCAUGUCUUAUCGACUCAAUGAAUCCACAGGUGCUGCAUUUUGGUUAUGGAUAAGAAAGAUGUUGUCUGAAGCUUUACUAAGGAUGUAAUGGUUAUUCUUUUGGGAUGAUGUUGAUUUUUUUUUCCUUAAAAAAACAAAAACUAUAUCUAGGUCUGGUUGAUUAUGACAAGCUUGAGGAAAUGGCUGACCGAUUUAAACCAAAACUCAUCAUUGCCGGGGCUAGUGCUUAUCCUCGAGAUUUUGACUAUCCUCGCAUGAGGAAGGUUAGUAUUUUAAGUCUUAAUUUCCAUAUGCAUAAUAAUAUGGAAUUCAUUAGCAUUUAUAAACACUGUUUUUCUUUGGCAACUGAUGAAUUACAUUGAAUUUGCAUGGGAAGAUUGCGGAUGCUGUUGGUGCUUUUCUUAUGAUGGAUAUGGCUCACAUAAGUGGGCUUGUAGCUGCUUCUGUGCUUGCAAAUCCUUUUGACUACUGCGAUAUUGUGACCACUACAACACACAAGGUAUUGUUCAACCUCGUGUACUUAUAUUUCACUAAAUUUUUUAAAAUCCCAAAUGUUCACAUAAAUGCGUAUACUUCAUAAAUAGCCUUAUCAUGUGCUUCCUUUGUUGUAUUCCAUAUUUGGAUGAUCAGACAAAUUUAAUACAUUUCUCUUCAGUCUUUGAGAGGUCCAAGAGGUGGAAUGAUCUUCUUCAAGAAAGAUCCAGUUCUUGGGGUUGAUCUAGAAUCUGCCAUCAACAAUGCUGUUUUUCCAGGUUUACAGGUUAGUACUUGUUUCAUGAUAAGAAAUCUGAUUUAUACCUGAUCAUUUAUUUGUUUCUUUAAGUUCAGCAUUUAUAUUUCGAAUUCCGAUAUAAAAAAGGAUAAAUGCUUGAGUUCUUUAUGCAGGGUGGUCCUCAUAACCACACUAUUGGGGGCCUUGCAGUUUGCUUGAAGUAUGCACAGUCCCCAGAAUUUAAGGCUUACCAGAAUAAGGUACUGCAAUUAUGCUGUCCUCAGUGUAAAACUGGUCCAAAGCAUGUCCUAAGUUAGUCUGGAUACUCUACCUUGCAGGUGGUCUCUAAUUGUAGGGCUCUUGCAAGCCGAUUGACUGAACUUGGGUAUAAACUAGUUUCUGGUGGAAGUGAUAACCAUCUGGUUCUUGUGGAUCUGCGGCCUUUAGUAAGUUCCUAAAUUGUUGAUUAAUUUAUUUGUUUUAAGUUUUUUAUUGUUAUUGUUGCUUGUAUGAGAACUUGUCCUGAAAUGUGCACGUUUAGCUAUUGUUUAGCAUUGCUUCCUAUUUUGCCUUUUUUUGUUGUUGUUAAAAGCUUAGCAUUUAGAUGUUUUGGAAAGGUAAAGAAAACAGUUGAGUUAUGACUUCACUAGUUUUAACAUUUACGCUUGGCUUGAACCCCACGCGGGGAGGGGGUUGUGUGUGGGUAGGGUGUGUAGUAUCAAAUUUACAGGUCCUCUUGUUUUUUGGACUAUUGGUUAAGCAUUAAAGUUAUGAUUGUAUCCUUUGCAUUAGUUCAUAACCGUAUCGAAUUUUCCAAUGUUAUUUGACAUUUUCUUUAUUAACAGGGUAUUGAUGGAGCUCGAGUGGAGAAAAUUCUUGACAAGGCUUCUAUCACCCUUAACAAGAAUUCAGUACCUGGUGAGUGUAAGGAUCUAUUAGGCUGAAAUGACUUGUAAGAAUGUCGGAUUUGAGAAUAGAGCUAAAUUAGUAAAUGAAAACUUAAAGCUUUACAUGGAAUAUGUAUUUGAACUAACUAGAUACAAUUUGUUUGCAGUGGAUUUGAAAUAAUCAAGUGAUCAUAUGAAAUGCAUGUGUCCUCUUUUGAUUCAAAUCUGGGCAUGUGUUUUCUUUUGGUUCUAAUAUUAUAAUCAAGCCAUUUACAUAAUUUUGCCAGAUGGACCCUAAGCGUUUCAGAUCUUUAUUUUUGGUUUGAGGCUUAUUUGGGCCUAAGGGUUAGUUGCCUAGUUUUGAAGGUCCUAUCUUUUUUUGUUUGUGUAGUUUUGGUUUUUAUUUGUCUUUCAGCUAUUUGGCUUACACCUGUGAUGUUUGAUGAAAUAGGCGAUAAAAGUGCUGUAGUGCCCGGUGGCAUUCGCAUUGGAUCACCUGCCAUGACAACAAGAGGAUUCGCUGAGAAAGAUUUCAUAGCUGUUGCAGACUACAUUCAUGAGGGUGUGCAGAUAACAAUUGAUGCUAAACGCGCAGUCUCAGGAUCAAAGCUCCAAGAUUUUAUGAAGUUUGUAGCUUCACCUGAAUUCUCCCUAAAGGAUCGAGUGUUGGAUCUGCAGAGAAGAGUUGAAGCUCUUACCACUCAGUUCCCAAUGCCUGGAGUAUAACUUGUAUAGAAGGAAAUGCAAGCUUAACUUGUCUGCACAACUAUUUCAAGGGAGCUUGUGGAUGACAACUUUUAGGUUUGGCAUGUAAAAUCAUAAAUUAGCGUGCUCUUUGCUAAAUAUUCAUCUUCAAUUUUUGGUCUUGUGUGAAGAUGAGAAAUAAAUGACUAGUUUUCUCCUAGGGAAUUAUUUAGGGAGCUUGAAUUAGGGAUCCACACCAUUGUAGAGCCCUCUCUGAGUUGAAGUUUUGUGAUCCGAACCCUUCCAACACACUUUAGAAAGGUGUUAGCCGUGUGGUGAGCUUGGGCGGGACGGUACAGAGCUUGGGCACAAUUCCCGGAUGUCAAGUUCAACCAGCCGCUCAUGAUGAGGGAAUGCCUUGCAGAGCAGGUAUGAAGGGCCUGAACAGCACAAGGGUUGAGGUCCUAAGAAGUUAUCUAAAUUGAUCCCUUGUUAAUUUGAGUAACAGAGAUUCCAAUUGUUUUACUUUCGCAAUAAUCAUCAAAUGUUGACUUAAUAAACAUGCCAAUAUUUUAUCUGCUAACAGUAAAUGAGAUUAAGUGGACUCAAAUUUGAAAAAAGAAAAAAAAAAGUCAGUGGGUAUAGCUCAAUUGAUUGAGCUCUCACAUCCAUUUAUGUAGACAAAGGUUUAAAAUUUCCACGCACCAAAUAAAUAUUUGUGUAAACUCCUUUCCUCCAAUCAUUUGUAUCCAAACAAAAAUACAUAUUAAUAAACAAAUUAGUGAGUGUAGCGUUGGUCUUAAAGGUAGAAUUCAUAAGGGUUUGGAGAUGAAAAACAAAGAUAUCGCAUGCGCCCUAUUUGUUUGUUUCAUCAGUGCCCUGUGCGGCACCUAUAUUUAUUCCCACAUAAAUUUUUUAAUUUAUUCCAUCAUUAUUGUUGUUGGCAUAUUAUAUAAAUAUUAAUAUAUGGUUUUAAUUUGGCACUAUCGCCUUUGAGAAGAUAAAGCACAUGUCAACGGGGUCUAAUCAAAUGAAAAAGGAUCUUAAUUUGCAGACCGGAAGUUUCAAAUUUGAAUCUCUACGACAUCAUAAUUGUGUGUGUGUAACAUUUCUUUGACACCGAAGAUGGAACAAGGUCUUCCUCAUGGUAGCUAAAGCUUAUUUUAUUUAAGCAAUAUUGCGCAAUUUACAAUGAGGCACCAUUUCUUUGGUGCGGUAGAUGGAAUCAAAUUUCUUUUCUUUUAUGCAACAUUAUUAGCUCCAUGCGUUUUUUAUAUUCAUCUUUCUGUUUUAUAUGCAAUUUAUUAAUGUGGCAUUAGAUAGACACUGAAGCAUUCUGCCUCUCGAAUUAAAACACAUAUACUUUGUAUUUAUUGCUAAAACCAAUCUAAUCAUACACACGUAACCCGUGAGUCUUAUCAUAUUAUUUGUUCUAAGAGUUUUUUUUAUUUUAUAUAUAUAUAUAGGACUUUUUCUAUUGAAAUGGGCGAUAGCAUAUUAAAUUCACACAUAUAACACGGAUGCUAGGACUCGAACCCAGAACCUUGCCUGAAGGAGUAAAUAUUUCAAAUCACUACACUAGUGAUUCCUUUACUUGUUCUAAGAAUUAUAUAUGUUGAGAUUCGACACCUACCAUGCGACAUUUUUAUUUUCUAGUGUUUGCAAAUUGUAGAUCGAUUAGUCAUAUGAUAAGGCCUAGCUACCAGACAUGAACAAAUAAUAAAUCAAAUAAAUAAGCAAAUUUGUGACAUUUCCCUACAAGGCACUCAUAGAAUUGUGUCGUUUUUGUGCUAGUUCAGUGUCUAUGGUACAAUCUAAUUAGGGGCGGGGGAAAGCAUUAAACCAAUAAUGAUCUACUUCUCUGUUUUAGAAGAUAAAUGACAAAAUAAUUAUCUUGUUUUCAUUGUUCUUUAUCUGUUAUUCAACAAUUGUCGUUGAUGAGGUUUGAAAUUAGAAUCACUGUUAAUAGAAUAAAUGAGUAUCACUAGACCAAAUUAUCGUUGACGUAGUUAUAAUCUAUCUAUUGUACCAAUAAUUUCUUUUUCUUUUUAGCACUUUGGGAUGAGAUUCUGUCAAACAAAGUAGGUAUUUAUAAAGAAUAAUAAAGAUGUAUUAACCAUAAAUAACAUAUGAAAUAAAUCCAAACAACUAUAGGAAAUAAAUCUUAAUACAAUAGGACUAAAUAAACGAGCAAGUAACAAAAAAAAUCUAAUUAAGUAAGGACUCACCAACAGAUUCAACGAAGAAAUUUGUCCAUAUAGAGAAUGAAACAUUCAGUAAUUUAUCUAUUGUACUUAAAACCUUAUUAUUAUUAUUUUCUAUGUAUUCUUGAUUGUAUUUACUAGCCUCUCUGCACGCGCUUCCGCGCAUGCGAGAGGUUUUUUAAAAAAAAAAUUAAAAUUUAUUUUAGAAUUAAAAAAGAUAAUGGAUAUUUGUGUUCCAUAAAAAUAGGACCCAUUAUCUGAAUUUUCUUUUAAUUUUAAUUUUUUUAAUACGAAAAAUUGUAAAUUUACCAUAUUAUCCUCAUUUAAUUAAUAAUUUCAAUUCUUAAUGUUUGCAUUAACCAAUGGCAUUUUCUGGUAUUUUGAAUGUUUCACCAUUCUCUGCCUUUUGCUUUAUAUAUAUAGAUAAUACAAUAAAUCCUUAUAGGUUAAGGAAAGUAAUAAAUCUUAAUUCUAUUUACAGUAGAAAAUUAUGAAUUAAAGUAAAUUAAUUAUAUUUAAUUGAGGAAUCCUUUUGAAUAUAAGGAAAGUAAUCACAUGUCCACUAGUCACACCAACAGAUGGGGGGUGCUCAAAGUUCCUUCUCCUGCUUACGAUUGAGAGGAUAUAUUACCCAAUUAGUCCGACGAUCAAAUCCAUAUAUGUAGAGAUGCGCCUAAUCCUCUAAGACAUAUUCCGGUUUUUAUGCUCGUUCUUCCGUCUUCAUCAAUAAAAUACUAUCCGAGUGAAACCUCUGUUUCUCUAAUUGUCACCGACGCGUGGUCAUCACUCAGUUGAAGAAUUUAGUCAUCUGAUUAAUAAUAAUGGUCAUUGACUCAUUGGUCAAUCCUGCAAACGUAACGUUGGGAUCCAAUACAAAACGCAAAACGCCAUAAAAAUUAACUGUAAAUCGGUGUGUGUACGUAAAUCAAUAUCUGGAUAGAUAGAAUACAGGGAUGCUUUGCUGCUCACUCGUCGCCAUCAUCAUCAUAUCACCAUGCAAUUUAAUACAUAAACAGUCGAAUAUGAUCCCUACUCUUAACUGCCCAAUUAAGAAAACGCGUUUAUGCACUUUGCCAUGCUUUUGUUUUUUUUUUUCUCUCUCUCUCUCUCUCUCUCUCUCUCUCUCUCUCUCCUCUUUUGGCGUUUCCUUGUUGUUCCUCCCUUUCCUUUUUCCUUUUCUUAUUUUUUUCUCUCUCUUUCGCUCCCGGUCAUUAUUCCAGUGGUAUAAAUACUACCCACCUCCCAUAACCCCACUGUACCAAAACCCCACCCACCUCUUUCUCUCUAAUGGCUCUCUCUCAAAAAACCAUGCUCCUAAUAUCUCUCUUCUUCCUCAUCUCUCCUUCUCUGUCAGCCAAAGAGAACAAGUACCUGAACAACACCACUUUUUCUCUCUCUUUCCCUCUCACUUCUUCUCAACUUUCUCUCGCUCCAAACACAUCCAAACCUCUCCAUCAUGCCUCUCUCAUUUCAAACUCCAGGCGAAUCCCAAGACUCACAUCGUACAACCAGAAGCUCUCCUUCAAGUAUUCAAUGGCUCCGAUUGUUUCUCUCCCCAUAGGCACUCCUCCACAGACCCAGCAGAUGGUUUUAGACACUGGCAGCCAGCUCUCAUGGAUUCAGUGCCACAAGAAGACCCCCAAGUCAAAGCCACCACCUCCUCCGAUGGCGUCGUUUGACCCUUCUCUCUCCUCUACUUUCUCUGUCUUGCCUUGUACUCACCCUAUUUGCAAACCCCGAGUUCCCGAUUUUACCCUCCCCACCUCUUGCGACCAAAACAAACUCUGCCACUACUCCUACUUCUUUGCUGAUGGUACUUUGGCCGAGGGCAAUCUCGUCCGAGAAAAAUUUACCUUUUCUCCUUCCGUAAGUACCCCUCCCUUGAUCCUUGGAUGCGCUAAGGACACCAGUGACAGCAAAGGUAUUUUGGGUAUGAACCGCGGGCGGGUUUCAUUUGCUUCCGAAGCCAAAAUCACAAAGUUCUCUUACUGCAUACCCGCCCGCCCGGCUCAAACCGGGUCUAAUCUGCCAACCGGGACUUUUUACUUGGGAAACAACCCGAAUUCCGCGGGAUUCCGAUACGUUGACAUGUUGACUUUUGAUCCAAGUCAACGCAUGCCGAAUUUGGAUCCCCUUGCCUAUACAGUUGUAAUGUUGGGGAUAAGAAUUGGCGGGAAAAAGUUAAGUAUUUUACCCUCUGUUUUCCGGCACGACCCGAGCGGGGCGGGUCAGACCAUGAUCGAUUCCGGCUCCGAGUUCACGUACUUUGUGGACGAGGCUUAUACUAAGGUAAGGGAAGAGAUUGUGAGACUGGUGGGACCGAGGUUAAAAAACGGUUACGUGUACGCGGGGGUAGCUGACAUGUGUUUCGACGGUCAUGACGUGGAGAUCGGACGGCUGAUAGGAGAUAUGGUGUUUGAGUUUGACAAAGGAGUGGAGAUUGUGACGACUAAAGAACAAAUUUUAGCCGAUGUUGGUGGUGGGGUCCGCUGCGUGGCAAUCGGGCAAUCCAGCAAGCUUGGUGCGGCGAGUAAUAUAAUUGGGAAUUUUCAUCAGCAAAAUCAAUGGGUGGAAUUUGAUCUGAGUAAUCGUAGAGUUGGGUUCGGUAGGGCCGAUUGUAGCAGAUCAGUGUGAGUCAAUAUAGCUAGCUGUUCAAGUUGCAAAAAGUCUUGUUAAACGCAAGAGGACAAAAAGGUCAUUAUAGAAGAGUCUAAGUGAGAUGUGAACUAGUUUGGCAUGGCCCAUGCAAUUAGUGGUAUCAAUUUUACUCCCCUGGUAUAGAAAGUACUGUAUCGUGAUGUGAUAUAUGUUGAGAUUAAUAUAUAUAUAUAUACGAGGAUGUGAAAUAUAUUAUCACUUUGUCAAAAUCAUCGUCUCUUUUCUAAUUUAUUUACUCAAACACUCACUCACCACUUGACCUAACCUCGAUUCUUUUAAAUAUUUUUGGACCUACGCAUAAUCAAGACAAAGGAACAUGCAGUGUGUAUGAGUUUAGUUUGUUAUCGUCUCUUUGAAUGGAACAGGUCUUACAAAAAAAUUUAAUUUUUUUAUUAUAAAAGAUUCUUCAUUCCAUUCAUGCCCCCCAAUUUCCAAACAUCACCCAUGUCCUAAUUAUGGUAAAACAAAAACAAAACAAAAAUCUGUGUGUAAUUUGUAAUGCCCUUGUGUAUCUUUCUUUGAUGACAAAAAUCAGGUGCCCUGGUAUGGAUAAACAUCGAACACAAAUAAAGAAGACAGAAAAGAAGAGGAAACUGCGGGCUCCACCCAAGUUGGAUUCGUGCAAAGAAGAGACGACACCUACUUGGGACUCUUCUGCCGACUCUAACUGCUCCUUCUCCCACAUAUAUUCCCGACACGCACAUGAUUCACAUUUUCUUUUUAUCUUAUUAAUCAUACUUUUUGCUCUUUGAUUAAAUAUUUUAUUACAAUUACUUUUGAAAAGGCCAAAAAAAAUAUUAACAAAAAAUAAUAAGGUCAUUGCUCUUCUUCUUCUUCUUCUUCUUCUGACCUUUUUACCUGGUCACGUGGAAUUUGCAAAAUAAGUGUUCCAUCGUUUGAAAGACAUGAUUAGCCAUCUCAACUUCCUCCUUUCAUGAUGAAGAUGAUGUGUGCACUACUAUUGAUGAUUGAUGUGUAGUUUGUAUGUACAUGUGGCCAAAGGUCAGCCUAAAGCAUCUCUCUCUCUCUCUCUCUCUCUCUCUCUCAUUUUCAUGUCAUGGAUAAAGUUGCAGUGAUUUUGAAUGAGAUUAAUUUAAUUUUAUAAAAAAACUUUGAUCCAACACUUGUCAAUCCUGUGCUUAAUUUAAUUGGAUCUCAAUGUGCAAGUAUUUGAUGAGGAAAACGUGAUUGGGAUCAAGACAAGGCCAUUUGAUGGCCGGUGAAAGUAACCUAAUAAAGCAAAACCCUAUUAUUAGGCCUCUCUCUCUCUCUCUCUCUCUCUCUCUCUCUCUCUCUAUAGAUAGAUAUGCUAGCUCUCGUGAAUUUUGUGAAUGAUCAUCAUCCAGUCUUCUUGUGCCAUUACAUUGACUAAGUAUUAACUUCAUCGAUCAUAUGGAGGAGGUGAUAACACUGACAUAAAGCAAUCUAUCUUCAAGUGCUUUCCUUUGCUCCCGUUUUCUAAAGCCAUCAAUCAUUAGUGUUGGAAAUUUAUAUUGCAAUAUACUAAUGCAAUUUAGAAGAAAGUUUUCAAAUUCCAACUCCUUAAAACAAAUACCCCACAAUAAUAAAGAAAGUUCAAUCCUUGUUUGAAGAAAUGCCCUACGUUAGAAGGUUGAGAAAUUCAUCAAGCCCUUAUAAGGAGUUGAGUUUACUUUCUCCGCACAUUUCCAAUUAAUUUUGGAAUGAGACCUUCAUAAUAUCACAUUCAUGUUUUUUCGCACGUGUAAAGUCCAACAACAACAACACGUACCCUCCACAUAGAUGUUGUACACGUGUUAACCCAACAAUUAUGAACUCAAAACAGAGGUGGCAGCUUGCUACUUCAAAAAACUCGGAUCCUGUUUUUGUGGGGCUUGCCCUUGUAAUGCUAUGUGCUCCAUCAACCCGCAAGCGGUCCCCUCAUUGUAGAGCAUUUGUCUGCCAUCGAUUAUCUUCUGUUUUCUAUUCUUUUGUAUCGGAUUGUCCUCAUCUAAAAACCCUAAUAAUUUGAAGUAUAAGACAUUGCAUAUACGUAUCGGGUUGUGUGCCCAUGAGGGUUACAACUUACAAUGCUUUGCUUUGGAGAUUGUCCCACUUUUAUUGGAAUUAAUUCUGCUUCGAAUAGCUUGUACUUUUAUCGAAGUUAUGGCUAGCUAGAAAUGUUGACCCAGUCCUUCAACUUCUUUUCUUUAUCUUUAUUUUUUGGGUCACCAUCAUCUUCGAUGGCAUGGGUGCAGUUGGUACUUUAUGAGCUAAGGAUGGACUUGUGCCUCUAAUGUUUUGGGAAGUUCUUUUCGUAUUAAAAUUGAGAAAGAAAAAAGAAGAGAAAGGUUCAGUAAAAGUAAAGUUUGCAAGGAGAGGUUGCCUAAUGCAAAGUAUUUGCCUCGGUUUUUUCAAAUUCUGAAAACAGAAAUACAUUAAAAGUUAGAUCCCCUAGGAAUUUUAAAACGAUACAAAAUCAAACUACAUUCUAGAAACGACAUUUUUAGGAAAAUUACUAAACUAGAUACAAGGAUUAUUAUGCUUAUGCCCAAUUGUAACUAAAUGAUUCAGGCAUAUGUGAGUAAUAGUGACACCGGGAUUUUUUUUCCAUUAACACCCAAAUAUCAUUCACAGCAGAUGAAAUGUACUUGUUGAUGCAUUGUUUUUCAAAUAUUUGGUUGAGAAAAUCCCCAGUGAAGUGAAUUUGAUAAAGUUGAACCACGUUUUCAACAUUGGAUGACCGAAGUCGGCUUCCAGGGGAAAAAGAUGUAAGCAUCAUCUUGUCAUGAUCAUCAAAGUAUGGAAUAUUAUGAUUGCAUUUUGAUUUUUUUAGAGAAGAGAGAAACAACAGCUGGCCAAAAGAGUUAGCUGCCAAGAUGGACUGCUUUGAGAGCCAAUAUUCCUCGAGAACCUAACCCUAAGCUGGUUCUUGUAUAAGUGAGGAACAGCUAGCUCUCUAUCUCAGCAGCAAGGCAAGACAGAUUUGCACGCCCUUAUUAGACACUUCACUUUCUUCUUGCAUUAUGAUUGUGAUGUAACAUAUAUAUAUAUAUAUAUAUAUAUAUAUAUGCAUGCUAGCUAGUGCUACCUCUCUCUCUCUCUCUCACUCUCUCUGCAUGAAUUGAAUGCGCCAGAACACUUCUUUGAAAAAGCAAACACCAAAAACCUACUGCUUUAGAUAUUGAUAGUAGGCGCCUGCAAAGAAAGAUUUUUGGUUUAUCAUGGACUCAUGGCUAAUGGUCCCCUUCCUAUUAUUUUCCACGCGUUUCUUUUAAGAUUUCCCAAUUGCAAACAAAAUGAAAGCAAAUAGUGCCAGCUUUCUCUUAUUUUUUUGUUGGUUUGGUCCCCCACCCUUGGCUCGAUUUUUGGUUGGUGAACGAAAAUAGUGGAAGUCAGUGAGAAACUAAGGACAGUCCACUCAAUAGUCGGCCCAUGUUUGAUUAUAAACAGUUUUGAUUCUCUGCGUUGGCCCAUCUUUAACUUUUUGGUUUUUUUUUUUGGGAGAUUUACUAUUAUACCUAUAUAUAGAAGUUCAAAUUAUAAAAAAAAACCAUAUAUGAAAUGGACUUUAGAAAUACACCCAAAGCCCAUUUACAACAUAGCAAAAAGACUUCUAACUUCUUUUAAAUUACAAAACUGCCAUUGAUUUCUUAAAACAAACUCAAUCUCAAAACCUCGUAAAAACCCAAAACAAGUAUCUAAGUAAUUUAAUCAUCAAAAUUAAAUUCAAUAAGGUCAGCUGUCAUUUUUUGGGUUUGUUUAUAGAAAUUAAAUGAUAUAGGGUUAUUUAUAGUUUUAGUGCUAAGAAUGGGUAUAUAACUAAAUAUAUAUAUAUAUUUGGUUUGAAACUUUUUGGUGUUUAUAGCUACUAGGCUUGGUAAACAAACCGUAAAAGCCAACAAGAUCUAACUCAAUGGAAAAUAACCUUCAUUUUCAGAUCAGUAAUCUCGGGCUCGCACCAACCACCAUGGCUCCUUGGCACAUAAUUUGUACAACCUUAAAAUCUAGUUGGACACAAUUGAUAUUUAUUUGGAUUUCCAAUAUUGUAGAUUUCAAUUGGUUUGAUUAAUAGAGUAUAGGGUGAAGCAUUAGUCUAAGGAUUACAGACAAAAGAUAGAGCCUUAUAAGAUCGAAAACGAUUGCUUGCUUUUGUCUUUCAAUAAAUAUAUCUUUUUAAGCAAUUACAUAUUGUGAACCAACAGUUGGUCAAUAGCGAUGAAAUUGUACACUGAACCAUUUAAGAAAAUGUUGCAUAAACGAUACAGCCUUCUGAAAAAGCAAAUUGGCAUUCACACACUGUCUUGAUAUAUAUACCUUGUUUUCCCCACCCAUUUCAUUUUCCCUCUCCAUGAAGUUUUAAUGAAAAUUAAUCUGCUCUUUGCACACCUUAUUAUCCCAACAAUACCUUUAAAACCCCAGUUUCUUUUCUUUGAACUUUAAAUCAUCCAUGGAAGCCUGCACUCAUGUGCAAUAAUUUCUUGUCAUUGCCUGCAUAAUGUCUUGAAGGCCAAUGCCAUUUAACAUGGACAGUAGAGCAUCCUUUGAUCAUAUUCGGUCGCUUAAGACUCAAAAAAGUGCCAACGCAUGAAAAUUGAAAAAUACCUUGUCUGAGCGCACUUCUGUUGUUAUAGUCUGGCCAUGUCUGGAUAGAAUGUCGAUGAUCUUUCCAUCCUUGACGGAUUUGGACUGGCCGCAGCAAAUAUUUGAUAGAUUUCUUUUUCUAUCUGAUAGUUCUUCGGAUUCCCGUAACAGUUUGAUAGAAAAGGAUUUAUUCCAAUGCUCGUAUUUUCAACUUCUUUUGACUGCAGUUUACUUGUGUCAGAAAAAUGCUUUCUGUUGUACUGUGGUAGUGUGUAUACGCAAGUAUCUCAAGUCACUUGUUCCUUUCUGUUGAUUUGAGUCACUUUGAAAUCCUUAAGUUAAGACCUAAUCACCAGACCAACCAAAUUUGACUUAAACCACUAUUUUCCAACAACUUGCUCCAAUCAUCUCUUCCGGCGAUCCUUCGAAGAUUUAUUGAAUUCACUAACUAGAGAAGUGUAAGAAGCAUAAUCAAGAACAAGCCCUUUUCCACUCCGUAGCUUAUCAAAGUCCUCAGGGUUUCCAUGCUUGCAAUGUCCUUCUAAGAGAAUGUUGUAUGUAAUGUCAUCUGGAGCCACCCCCAAAUUAAUCAUAGCAUCCAAAAGCAUAUUAGCAUUUUUCAUCUGUCCUAGCUUGCAUAGUCCAUUCAUAAGCGCAUUAUAGGUUACAACACUAGGUACAUAGCCAUCACCCUGCAUCUCCUUGAGCAACUUAAAACCCAUCUUAACAUCACCCUUCUUGCAAAACCCGUCAAUGAUCAUCGUAUAUGUGGCAUCAUCAGGUUUCAUGCCAGAAUUUAACAUCUCCCUCAACGUUCUUUCAGCGUCAAGUGUUUUUCCUUCUCUACACAAUCCUGAAAUAAGGGCUGUGAAAGCUACAUUGUCAAGCUCAAUCCCUUGUUUAAUCAUUCCCUUCCUUAUCUCUAGAGCCGAUUGUAGAUUUCCUUCUUUGCAGCAUCCAUCAAUAAGCGUAGUAUAAGUGAUCGUGUCAGGCUUCAAACCUGCUAUAUUCAUCUCCUCAACAAGCUUCCUCGCUUCUUUCAAAUCUCCAACUUUGCAAAGGCCAUUUAUGAGUGUAUUAUAUGUAAUUACAUCUGGUUUGAUACCAAUCCCCAACAUUUUCUGAUACACUUCCAUUGCCAAAUCAAUUCUUCCAUUCUUACACUGCCCAUCAAUCAAAGUAGUAUAUGUGACAUUAUUCGGAACCAAACCCCUCUCACACAUUUCAUCAAACAACAAAUUUGCAUCGUCCAACCUAAGCUCCUUGCACAGCCCAUUGAUCAAAACACUGUAAGUAAAUACAUCAGGACGUGUUCUGCUUUCCUCCAUAUCUCUCUUCAACCUAAAACACUCCUCCAGAUUCCUAGACUUACAAUACCCAUUAAUCAAAGUAUUGAAACUAACUACAGUCGGAAGCAGACCCCGUUUCCCAAUUUCAUCGAAAACCAACUGGGCUUCUCUAAUUUCACCUUCUUUACACAAUUUGUGCAUCAAAACAUUGAAAUUAUAAACUUUUGGUGGAAACCCAGAAUCCAAAAUCUCCAAAUAAAAUCCCCAAGCCACAACGGGCGAGUUCAACUUGAGCAUCUUAUCAAGCAAACAGCCGCAAGCAUGAAAUGGGAUUCGAAAAUUAUGCUUCCUAAGCAAUCUAAAGCACUGGCAUGCGUCAGAAACAAAACCACAAUCCACAUACGCAUUCAUCAAAGCAUCAAAUACAUAAUUGGACUGGUGGGUACCUCUAGUUUCGAGAAUGGAAGCGAAGACGGAGGAUGCAGUCUCCUUGCCUUUGCGAGAAACGACGAUUCGUAGGAGGGACUGAGCUUGGGGAUACAUUUGGUGAGCGCAGAGGAAGUGGGCCAUUGUGCAAUAGGAUUGGAUGUUGUGGCGAAACGUGGGGUGAGAAGAGAGCCAGUUGAAGAAGGAGAGGAGAGAGAGAGGGGAGAGAGAGUGGGGGUUGAGGUUGAUGAGGUUGAUAACGUCACGGGCUGUGAGGGAAGGGAGGAGCUUUCUGAGAGAGGAGUCCAGAGGCUGAGAGUUUUGGGUGGUGGUUUUAAUUGCGUCGGAGAUGGCUGAGAGCUUUGGGUCUUCAUUGUGAGGUGUUGGUGGUUGGUUGUACCAAGCGGUUGUGGUGGCGGUGGAGAAGCAUAAGCAGUAAUAGCAAUUGUGAGUGUGGGGGGAAGAGAGAAAGCAAAGGCUCCUCCUUGGGAUUUUGAAGACAGCCAUGCUUGUUCGAGUCUGUUGCUUGCCAUCUGCUUAAGAGCUUCCCAGCUCCUUUUUGUUUUUAUUUAUUUAAUUUUUUAUCCUAAACUUUUUAUCAUAAAAUAUUCAUGAGGUUAAUGAAACUAUAAGGUUGCGUUUGUGAUCACAAGUAGUCCUAGCCGUUAGCUUCCAUCCAAAAAAUCGUUAAAUUGUUGAUAUAGCACAUUUAGAUCCAAUGAUAUAAUGCCACGUGAAUUAAAAAAUAGAAAAUACUAGGCAUACCACAUUUAUAUAACACAUUGUGUACCACUUUUCUAACAAAAAUGAGCCCCAUUAUAUUGGUGGGCUCCAUCUUUAUUAAAGAGGUGGUACACAAUGUGGUAUAUAAAUGGUAAGCCUAGCAUUAUCCUUAAAAAGUGUAAGUAUGAGCAUGUGUACGAACAUUUUUUUUAAAAAAUUGUAUAAAUUAACUUUGAUAAAUUUAACGCUCACCAAUAGGGUUGGGCAUAAAGACUGAAAAAUUGGAACACCGAGCAGCACAUGUGGGGGCAAAUAUUUCGACAACCAAUCGUGAGACACCACGUGGACAAUGAGAAUAUGCAUUAGGUCAACAAUUGUGCUCCAUUUAAUUGGUCAAUUGUUUGGACUUAAAAUAGAGAUAAUACCAUAAAUUAGAGAUUUGAUCUUCAUUAAAUCUUUAAUUGAUUCAAUCUCUCCAUUUAAAGGAGAGAAUAAUUCCCUUCCAUAUGAGAAUUAUUAUAUGAAAAUCCCUAGAAGUCAAGAGCAAUAUAAAUACAUGGCUACAUCACACAUAUGAGGUAAUUCUAAAAAUCCUACAAACUUUCUCUCUCUCUCGCCGCCCCCCACUUUCUCUCUCACACGGCUCCAGCAAUACACAUGACUCCGACCACCCGGUUCUCUCAUACCGUAGAGAAAACUCCAACAUUCUCUGUUAUUUUCGUAUCUUUCUUAAGAUCAUCUAACUGACUUAGGCAUCGAAGGGCCUUUGACCAACAUCCUCUGGGUGUGCUCUAUUUACUCCAGUCUAUUUUGCAGGGAUCGAGAAGGAAGAGAGAGAAGGAAGUUGGAAGGGUGAAAAAUCUCUUACAAAUAUUCUCUUGUAAGAAAUUUGUACAAACAUUUGGUGCUUUUAUUGAGAGCAUCGAGUUAUACUUAACACGUUGCUCUCGAAUCAAAGGAAUCUGUUUCCUCCCAUUCAUCACUCAACUAAAGCCUUCCAAACAACAAUGGUUGGAAGCAAGCGCAUAAGAAGCAAGACCGCCACGACGACACAAUCUUCUAUGGGCCCAAGCUGCCACGACGACAAGACGUUGAACCAGUUGAUUCAUUCUGCUGUUGAAAUCGUGACUGCAGUCACGACACUGGCCCAUGUUGUUGCUCCACCUCACGACACCAUGGCCGAGAGUGCCAUGCAAGAGCACGUCGUUGCUCCACCGCCUGGCCUCCUAGCCGAAGGCGCCACUCCACCAUAAGACGUUGUCACCGAGACCACAGCCACAGCCUUGCAGUCGCGCAGUCUAAUGGUUAGUUCCAAAAGCCACAAUCCCUAUGGUCUCGUGGCAAAAUCUAAUGUUCACCACCACCACGAUGCCACGGUUUGUCGCGACACCAUUGCUCACAGUUGUCAUGGUGUCGUCGCCGAUUACGACCCAAUCUUGGAGUAACUACAUCUAUUCCCUCUUUUGCCACCGCGCUCAACGAAUGCUUCCGCUUACACCUUCAACAAAACCCUAGCCCACGUGCAAUUGGGCUCCGUAGAAUUCUCUCAUCCAGAUCCAAGUAAUGAAGCAAACCUUAGUCUAAGAGUCAACCAGUUGACCCAGAGAGUCAAUGAUCAAAAUCUCCUGGUUGGAUAACUUCUCAAGCAAAUUGACAUGGUCCGAGGCCUUGGUGUUUGAUCCCAUGAUGAAGAGAGAGAUGGAAGAACAUACCGACAGACAGUUCGAGAGGUCCUAGGUAGGUCGAGCAUGAGCGUGCAUGCAAGGAGAAGGACAAGAACGCGUUACCUAGCACGCCGGCAUGUCAGAAGCAUCUGUGAGUUCCAGCCCAAGUAGAUCAAAUUUUCGUUCAAGGAUAGGUCAUAGGACCAAUGUGCACGAUAGGUUGGCCCCACGGUCUGAUGUUCAUGCUUGUCUGGCCGCAAGAAAUUAUUUAUGUAAGGCUAGGCCCACAUGGAGAUAAGCCUCAUGAUCCUCCUCAAGAUGUGAGUGAAAUAAGACGCUCAUCGGCUUGCUUCGGAAGAGCCAAUUAACGGUUACAAGCCACAUGGAAUCCUUCACAAGCUCAGUCCACUAAUAUGCCGCAUAGGUAAGACAACCAAGAAGAUAAACCCCCGAGAGUCAAUGAGGAGGUCAAUCAGCGACGUACACGUUAUGGGAGACACCGACGUGAGCCGCAAGCCUUGCAAGUAUAAGAUGUCAAGAAACUUGUGAAUGACUGACUCCGAAAUCUCAAGGUCGGAGGAGACUUGGAGGAUGCCUUGCACAAUGAGGUAUAGCAAGUAAACUCAUCUCCAUUCACCAAUGAGAUUAAGCAGGCAACCCCACCAAGAUGAUUCACAACGCCAUCUUUCACGUCAUUCAAAGGGGAUUUUGAUCCCUAGAGCCAUUAGAAGCAUAUUAGAAGUCCGAAGAUACUAUGAUGUGUAAGGUGUUUGCAAUGACCUUGCGGGGAGCAGUUCAAGACUGGUUCCGUACCCUACCGUCAGGAUCGAUCAUUAGCUUCAAGGAGUUGGCCUUAGUCUUCAUGAAUAAGUAUACCUCUCACCAAACGAUCAAAAAAUAAGCCGACCACCUGUUCAACUUGCACAAAAAGCUUGAUAAAUCCAUCCGAGACUACAUCAAGAGGUUCAAAGUAGAGAAAACUAACAUCAGGGGAUGUGAUGACCCAAUCACAUCCUCAGCUUUCAAGAAAGGCUUGCCAACCGAGCAUGACCUGUACAAUGAGCUGACUAUCGUUCCCAGCCAAACACUGACAAAGGUCUUCGCGAUCGUGGAAUGCUAGCGCUCUGAGAUGACGAUUAAAUUACCUGAAAAAGGCUGCUAAGUAAGUCGAUCAACCCUCCAAGUAGGCAAGUUAGAGAAAUGACAAGUUCAACAGUAAGAAUAGCAAGCGCAAAGCGCAACCACAAGGAGUAUUAGUCAAAGUACAUGAAGUUUGAGAAGUAUUGGUCAAAGUAUAGUUUAAUUCUUGCUAUUGCAAUUAUUUUGGAUCCACAUUAGAAGUUGCAUUUUGUGGAGUGGGCUUAUACUAAGCUUCAUGGUAAGGAUUCUCAAAAGCUAUAGAGUGGUAUAGACACAUUGACUUCUCUUUUUGAUGUGUACAUAGAAACUUUAUCUCAUCUUCUUAAUUCAAGUUAUCCAAUGAAUGAGGCAACUAGUCAUAAGGAAGGUGGAGACACCGUUCUUGAGGUAAACCAAAAUUCUUAUUUAUUUAUAUAAUUUAUGUCUUGUUGCAUAUUGUAUAUUUGCAUUUGCAUGUAACUAAUACUUGCGUGUUUGAUUUUUUAUGGUGUAGGAUUUUGAUAAUAGUUACACAAAUGGUUCAAGUUCAAGUAGGAAAAAAGAAUUGUAUAAGUAUUUGGAUGAGGAAAUGCUAGAUAGAAAGCAAGACAUAUAUGUUCUUUCUUGGGUGGCAAAUGGAGCAUUUUCAUUAUCCGAUACUUUCACAUUUAGCUCAGGAUGUGUUAACAAUUCCUAUUUCUACUGUUGCAUCCGAAUCGGCUUUUAGUAUUGGCGGUCGAGUACAAGAUGAAUAUCUUAAUUCAUUAUUGCCUAUAACUGUUCAAGCUUUGUUGUGCACUCGAGAUUGGCUUUUUGGAAAUGGAGGUAGUAUUUACAUAACUUUAUACUCGUAGCUUUUAUUUGUUUUUUCAUUAUAUGAAUUCUUUGUAAUUUUUUUUUUCAAUGCUUAGCUGACAGGACCCGACCCAAAUUCCACUUUGGAAUCUAUGUCGAACCCUGUGCAUGUCCGACAUCUAACAAGUGUAGGGCAUACUUGACCAAAUUGCCCUUCUAACUAAGACUCAACAAUUCUUUUAAGGUUUGACUUAUGCCGAAAAUCGGCAGAGUCUCCCCUGUAAAACAGACAUUUCCCAAUAACUUUCCACAUGUAAAAUAAUAUGCAGUUAAAAUUGAAAUUCAAAUCCCAAUCGUUUAGCAUGCAUUAGACAAAUAACUUUAAAUAGUUUCAAACCUCUUUAUACCAAAUAAAUCAUUCUACCAUCUGAAACUGGUUCCAAUUCUUAAAACAAAAUGAGUACGUUAUCAAGUUCCAAUAUAACUUAACUGAACAAAUUUUCAACACUUGAUCUUGUGGUUGCACCUAGUAACUCUAGGUUGCCUAUGUACCUUUACUAAGGGAUCAAGUCAUACAUAGUUCUUUCACUUUUCACAUUUGCACUUGUAAAUCUUCAUCAAUUGUUAUUUUUCAAUGUAAUUUGCAAAUAAACUUAUUAUAGAUAAGUAAGAAACAAGGAAAUUAUUAUAGUAGUAUUGACCACGUGAAAUCUUAAUGUCAAUAUCAUUAAUUUAAAUAAAAUAUGUUUCUCUCUUUCACAUGUAAAAACAAAUUCAUUACUUGAGAAAAUAAUUGUGAAUUAUAUAAAAUCCUUAAAACUUAGAAAACUCUUAAUCCUUGUCUCAUAAAUCGAAAAAUAUGUAUUAAAAACUUUCGCCAAUAAGUACCAAAAUAAAAUCAUAAAUUUUAGUUAAAAAUUUAAAAACUCAAAUACUCUGCACCUAAACAUACUCCCAUUCAUGAUCCGUCAAUUCCACUAAUAUUCCGUCAAUUCCAAUAAUAUUCCAUUAAUUCCAAUAAUAUUCCAUCAAUUCCAAGUGUCACAUAAGCGAUACAUCCUCGCAGGCCUCGAAAACACAAAGUCAACCCGAGCCGCAUUCUUAGCAGAACUCGGGGGACACGUAGUCAGCCCGAGAACGCACAUCCUUGCAUAACUUGAGGGACAUGUAGUCAGCCUGAGAACGCAUAUCCUCGCACCACAUAGUUCAGGCAUCCUCGAAACUCGUGAGGCAUUGUCAUAAAUGACAAAGCUGUUUCAAAGACAGCUAGGGGAGUUACUCAUGUGGUGGGUUUGAAAACCAUAUUCCGAAACUUAUCAUAAACUUUCCUUUAUUCCACAAAUCUAAUUUUCAAAUCUUUUAUAAACUUUCCAAAAAUCAGUUUUCAACUACAUUUAAAUAAUCCAGUAUCACUCCGUCAUAUACUUUAAUAAUCAUAAUAAUAAUAAUAAAGAAUGUAAAAUAUUAACCCUUAGUGAUCUCAUAUCCUUAUUAACUCAAUUUAAAUCAAUUUUUUAAUCAAAACUCACUUAUGCAAGAAAUUCCAUAUUAAAAUAGCGAUGUACACUUCAAAACAAACGUGCAUUCAUUCCCUAAUAAAUAUAGCUGAGACCCACGGCUCACCUUCACAACUCACUAAUCAAGUGUUCCAUACUCAUCUAUUCCAUAACUUUAAUUAUUAAAAUAAUAUCCAAGAAUUCCUUAAGAUACUAUAAAACAAACUCAUAAUUCCAACAUAAUGAAAAUAACUCAAAUAACAAUCAAGACUUAAUUAUGAGGUUGUUCUAGUACUUCUCGAAGGGAGGAACUACCUCGGAAGACUCACGGUCAACCGAGGGGUCAAAUUGCCCAAACUUGAUCAACCUGGUCCGCAUGGCCCACCACCUCCGAUUUUCGAUAUGAGAGUUCCUACGGGUUCAACAAGGUUUACUAUACAUGUCCUUUAAGUUUCGUCCAAAAACGAAUGGUCGGAUCGCUUGCAUCGCACGUUAGGACGGUUAUCGUUUGAUGCAAACUUUAAGCCAUUGAAUCAGAGCAUCCGGGACUCCGAUUCCCAAUCCGCGAAUUCCCACACGGUCCUAGAGAUAUCUAGAUCAACAUAUUUCAAAAUGAAGUCAAUCCAACGGUCUGAGCAUAUCGAACCCGGAUAAUGCCUAAUAUGCGAUAUUCAAUUGACAGUCAAAUGAUAACCAAAUUCAAAUCCGAGCAUACUGUCAUGCUUGGAAUGACUUAAGGAUCAUUUUAGGAUCAAGAUGGACACCUGAACAGUGCCCACGUGUCGCCACACGCGCUGGCAGCGUGUGAGUGUCCUGAAAAAUUUCGAUGACUGGAAAAUCUCCAAACCGUCGAUCAAGACCUAUACCUACAUGAUUAGGACAAUGAAUGGAGCAACUUUUGUUUAGACCAUUGCCAAAAAGUGACCGAAACUUGCCGGAAUGACGAGCCGAAAAUCGGCCAAACUUUAAGCCAUAAAGUCAAUUUCAAAAUGCAAAAAUCGAUCCUAAAUAACCCAACCAUCAGCUGGAACACAUUGAGAGGAGUGCUUUGGUCUUCUUUAAUGGCUCCUUAGUGCAUUGAAAGUUUUGAUGAGAAUGAUACUGCAGCUGCUGUAAUGACAUUGCUUGACGAUAGAUUUGAGCAUGCCCUGAAAGGGCUUUGCUACAGACACAGUGGAAUAGGUGCUGGACCAAGUGUUCCAGCAACUGCUACUUGUUUGGAUGGGCUUCCGGUGGCUCUAGAAAGAGUUGGAAAUGGUGCAUUGAUGUUGGACAGGCCUUGCAUGAGAGCUUGCUUUGGUGAAUUAAGAUACAACUAGGCUUGACAUGAGAUGCUUGUGGCAAGUAAGCUAAGAGCCCAUAAGUUUAGCAAAAGAGAGAGAGAGUUAGAAAGGGAAAAGCUUGGAAUUGUAGCUAGACUAUAUCUUCCUGCAAAUUUCUUGGAAUAAAGAAAGUUAACUAUGAUGCUUGAAUCUUGGGAUGGUGACUUGUAGAAUGUUUGGGUGCUACUUAAGGCUUGGCAUGGUGUUCUAAGACAAAGUGAACAAAAAUGGAAGGAUUAAGGCCUAAGAUUAUAGGUGUUUUCGAUAGCUAGAGGAUGGGCUUGCGAUAUUUGGUUUUUUUCACCAAGAAUGACAGGACCCGAUCCAAAUUCCGCUUUGGAAUCCGAACUAGACCCUGUGCGUGUCCGACACCUGGCGAAUGUCGGGCACAAAUGACCUAUUUGCCAUUCUCUACAAAACACGAUAAAAAUAAUAAGGUGAACUUCUACCGAAAAACCGGCAGACUUUCCCUUGUAACUGGCUCAAUACCAAAACAUUUACACCUGUCAAAACAAGUAUAUAUAUACAACCAACUGCCAGCAUAUGUAUAUAUACAUUCCAACAGUUCAAAUCUCAGUCUAGGGCAAAACAUCAGAGCGACUACUAAAUUUACAAAAAAGUGAAUCUUUUUACAAAACAAAAUCCUACAUCAGAAGAAAGACGCGGAAGAUGGGAAGUGGCCCGGUGGUGGAUUCCUGUGCACGUCUACUGCCUAGGGGGGCAAAACAACAAAAAGGGUGAGUGGACCCAAAAACAAAGUUUAGAAAAUACCAUAUGAACAUACUAACCCAACUGUAAAAACAGUUAUACAAACUAACUUAUUUUCUUUAUUUCUGAAAUCAAUGCAUGUAUAUAACUAUACAUUUGAAAACAGUUUAAAACUAUCACCGAGGUGUACUCUAUUUCCGUCAAUUCCUUGUAUCUGUCAAUUCCUUGCAUUACCAUGGGUGACGCAUACUCGCAGGUCUCAGUGACACGAAGUCAGUCCGAGCCGCAACUCGCAGGAUUCAGGGGACCGUAGUUCACCUGAUCCACAUUACUCGCUCCACACGAGUUCGAGUACCAAGGAACUCGUGGGGCAACUGUCAAGCAUGUUGACUAAACCGAAGGCAACAAAUAUAAUCCGAAGGCAACAUGUCAUAUCUGGGUACAAGAUGGUUUAAGAAAAUAUAAAGUUUCCGAAGCAAAACUGUUGAAUAAUUAACUUUCUGUAACCUUUUAAAAUUCUGCUGCCAUUUAUCUGAUAAUUAACGAGAAUAGCUGUUCCUAUAAGCUUUAAAGGAAAUUUCACUCGGCAGCAUGCAACAUAAAAUAUUUUACAGAAUAAAACAGCUAAUAACUGAAACUGAACUGCUUAAAUUCAUUUAUUAAAACAAAGAGUCCACUCACUGAUAGUCUGAGCUCGCUGGAUGUAAUAACCCAAAAUAAAAUAUCUAAAAAGAAAUAAAAUAUCUAAAAAGUAGGAUUAAUAUCUUCUAGCAAAAAGACAAUUUUGCCCUCGCAUUAUUUAAUAGGGAAAAAGUUGACUUUUUGAUUGGAAAAGAAUUUGGCAAUUCCGCUUACGCCAUUGCGUAGAGCACGGCGAAACGAGUCCGUAGACAUGGAGUAGACCCGAAUCGGACUUGUAACGAAGACAAUACGAUCAAAAUACCGCGAACGGCAAAAUGGUAAUUUAGUCAAAAAGUCAUAUUUUUAUCCCUUCCUCCCUUCUCUCUCCUCAUUUCUCUCUCUUAUCUCUCUCUCCUCCCGAUCAGCCCGCGCCAGCCGACCUUCCUCCCUUCUCAUCGUCGCCACGGCCACCACGCUUGGAGCCGAUCUCCGCCGUUGGUACCAAACGAACCACCACUCGACCGCCAUCAUUGUCUGACCCUUCGCCGGAGUUUCCGUGGCCGGAGCUCGCCGGAAAACUCCAUUUUUGCCAGAUUUCGUGUUCAAACUUCCAGCUCGAUUUUCUCCUUCAAUUCUCCACCAAAUCGAUCGAGUAAGGUAUGGUUUCUCAGCUAUUUUUUGUGUUCUAGCUGAUGCAUGUAUGGGUUUCGAUUGAGUUUAGCUCUAAAGCGAUUAAUUUUCGACUUGAAAUCUGGCCGAAACUUCGGCCGCCGUGAUCUACUGUUUCUGGUCACUUUUUGGGGUAUGUCCAAGAACAAAAGUGACUCCAAAUGGGGUGUUUUACCUAGGAUAGAACUUUGGAGUCCUGGUUCUGAGAUUUUUCGACCACCCGAAAUCGCUUAAGACACCCAAAUCUGCCCGUGCGUGCUGGGGCGCGUGAACGAGGGUGGUGAAGUAAUUCUGUACUGUUUUGUGACCCUCGUGUCGUCACGAGCGCGUAGGAUUUCACGGAUCUCGAUUCGGAGUCCGUUUGAGCCCCGAACGGAUUUUUCAUAUCGCACGAUCCUUGGGUGCAGUGCCGUCAAAUCGUUGGAUCAGACUGAAUUUUGGAUAUGUCGGUCUACAUGAUUUCAGAAUCGUGUAGGAUUCGACGGAUUGCGAAUCGGAGUCUCGGAUACUCCGAAAUCGCGAACCCUGGGACUAGGGUUUGGAUUUUAAGCGAUACCGCGAUUUCGGCUAAUCCGACUGUCCGUUUUGGACCAAACUCGCGGAACUUGGUUCCGUCUCUAUCAGGAACCUUCAAAGAAGUCCAGAUUGGCCAUGGGAGACCAUGGACCCACAGGGUCCCGGAUUGGCCGGUCUGGUGGUUUAUCGCUUAGUCAAGCGUCGAGUCUUCCAAAACUGAUCUAAGAGUCUGAAAGGCUAAUGUGGGCAUAGGAGUAACUUGAAACGAGUGCACGUAUUUCUAGGAGCCGGGGGCAGGGUGUUUAAUUUAAAUUCUUUUUAUUCAGCAGUUUAUUGAUUUAUUAUUCAUGGAUAAUCAGGCCCCAGAGAUCCAGUCGACCCGCAGGAGGGACCUUCGAAGGGUCGAAUUAGCUCGGACCAUCAGUGAGUGGACUUUCUUUCAUAAACGAUUUUAUAUGCAGAAGUUAUAUAAAUGAUUUAUAUAAAUGAGAUUACUUAAAUGAUUUUAUAAUGAUUUUAUACAAAUAAGCUUUUAUAAGUCAGUUUAUAUAGGUUAAUUUGAUUAUUGAUUUUGAAGAAGUUUUAUGAACUAUUUAUUUCAAACGUGAUGUGAGCGGUACAAUGCUUUGAUUUACGUGUUGUUUAGUUACUGAAGCUCAAGUAAUAUAAAAAGCAGAGUUUGAGAACUCUAUCAGAAGAGACAACAGUUAAAUGUCAGUUUCACAAAAAGGCAGUGAGCUAUUAGAUUUUUCUAAAAAAUGGUUUAUUUUAGAACCACCAUGUACCCACCCUUUAUUUGGUGAUUACCUAGAGUUGGACCGAUGUCUACGGACAUCCAGUCCGAUUUCAGUUUACGUCAGUGUACUUGACUUUGCCUCACGAGUUACGGGGACGCUCGGAUCGUGAGUGCCAGGAUUUGCAGUUCGGUAGACUUGGUGUCCCGAGACCUGCCAGGAUUGCGGCUCGGCUGACUUUGUGUCCCCGAGACCUGCCAGGAUUGCGGAUCAGGCUGACUACGGUCCCCUGCAUCCUGCCAGAGCGACUCGAGCUGACUUGGUGUCAUCGAGGACCUGCCGGCUGAUCAGGCUGAUCAUAGUCCCCUGAUUUCUCCAGUUUGCGGCUCGGGUAGACUGCGUGGCGCCCGAGACCUGCCAGGGGAAUUGACGGAUAUGACAGGGGUACAAAUAGGUGGUAUUUUCAAAGGAUUUUGAGUUUUCUUUUAUUCAAUUAUGACUUUCAGUGAUUUUAUACCAGUUUCUUUGAUAUUCGCGCAUUUAUAUCCUUAUAUAUUUGUUCAGUAUACGAGUAUAUUCGUUAACACGCGUUACAUGCUUAUUUGCAUACCUUGUUUUGACAUAGAGACAAAUUAGCGAUUUAUAUCCCUAUGUAUUUCAAACGGGGGUUAUUAUGUUCUAGCUUGUUUUUAAGAACCUUAUUUUUGUCCACUCACGUUUUUAACCUGUUUUUCGCCCCCAGGCCAUAGAAGUGCGCAGGAUCCACCACCGGGCCGUUCAUAGCUUCCGCGCCACCAAAUAAGGUAGAGUUUUGUGAAAAAUCCUUAGAACCCUGAAAACUCUAGAAAAUGCUCUGAUAUCUAUUUGAAACUGAAAAACUGGAGUUGAGAUAUGUUAUUUGAGAUAUUCUGGCAGUUGGUGUGGACUUAUUUGAUUGUUUAACAGGUGGAAAACUUUUGGUUUGGUCAAAAUACAGGGGAGACUCUGCCGAAUUUUCGGCAAAAGUCUAAGGGAAAGUGUAAAAAGAAUUUGAAACGAGAGGGAUAAAAAGGUCUUUUGUGCCCAACAUUCGCCAGGUGUUGGACACGCACAGGACUUGGCUCGAAUUCCAAAGCGAAAAUUGGGUCAGGUCCAACUUCUUGCAGGUCCCUCCUGCGGGUCAACUGUGUGCCCGGGUGCCUGAUUCAAUGACCAUAAUAUUCUAUUAAUACAAUAUAGUAUUACAUUAAAAAUCCUACCCCCGGCUCCUAAACGUACGUGCAUCAAUUUAAAGUGAUCCCUAUGCCCAUAACAGCUUUCCUUCCACGUGGAGUAUUUCAGCGGUAUCUUGGGCCAGACAUUCGCCAGGUAAGGGAAAGUGUAAAAAGAAUUUGAAACGAGAGGGAUAAAAAGGUCUUUUGUGCCCGACAUUCGCCAGGUGUCGGACACGCACAGGACUUGGCUCGAAUUCCAAAGCAGAAAUUGGGUCGGGUCCAGCUUCUUGCAGGUCCCUCCUGCGGGUCAACUGGUGCUCGGGUGCCUGAUUCAAUGACCAUAAUAUUCUAUUAAUACAAUAUAGUAUUACAUUAAAAACCCUACCCUCGGCUCCUAAACGUACGUGCAUCAAUUUAAAGUGAUCCCUAUGCCCAUAACAGCUUUCCUUCCACGUGGGGUAUUUCAGCGGUAUCUUGGGACUCAAAAAGCGCUAAAGUCCAAAAAGUCAAUCCGGAACCCCACGGGUACAAUAUGAUCUGGAUGCUGCUAGAAGGUCCAAUAUAUUUAGGACACAUGUCCCGAGGGUAUUGGUGUCGAUCAGACGGUCGGAUUGAUCACAAUCCUGUAAUCGCAUAAUUUCUAAACCCUAGCCCUAGGGUUCGCGUUUUCGGAGUAUACGGGACUCCGAUUCACGAUCCGUUGAAUCCUACACGUUUCUGAAAUUAGCUAAAGUAACAUAUCUAAAAUUGAUUACGAUCCAACGGCUCAACAGUAUUGAACCCGAUAAUCGCACAAUAUGAAAAAUCCGUUCGAGGCUCAAACGGUAUCCAAAUUGAGAUCCGCGAAUUCCUAUGCGCUCGUGACGACCUAAGAAUCGCAUCAGAACACAGUGUCAUGGCACCACCCUCGCCCACGCACCGCCCCACGCGCCGGCAGCGAUGGGUGUCCAAAGUGAUAACGCAUCGCCGGAAAAUCGCAAAAACAAAGCUCCAAACUCCUAUCCUAAGUAUAACAUCAUAUUUGGAACCACUUUUGUUCUUGGACCAACCCCAAAAACUGACCGAAAGUGGCCGAACACGGAGGCCGAAAACUGGCCGAAUUUCAAUUUGAAAACUGAGGUAGCUACGGUCCAAUUCGAUGCAAACCUACCCAACCAUCAGCUAGAGCAUGGAAAAUAGGUAGAAAUCCAUACCUUACUCGAUAAAUUUGGAGAAGAAUUGAAGGAGAACGAACGGUUGGAAGUUUUGACAAAACCGACUCGUUUUUCACAGUUUCCGGUGGCUGACGGCAGCGGCUGGCAGCGGGCUGGGCUGGGUGUGGUGGCGGCGCGACGCCGGUCGUUUUGGCUCCGGUCUUGCGGCUUGGGAUGGCCGGUGGUGGCGGCUUUAACAAGUGGAGGGCGACGGGAGGGAGAGAAAGAAAACAGAGAGGGAGGAGGGCGCAGGGGGAGAGAGAGAGAGAGAGAUAUGAGGUUUUUCUAGAAAUUCUGAUUUUUCAAUUUACUGUUUUGCCCCUCGUGAUAUUUUAAUCGUAUUUUCUUCGUUAAAACUCCGAUUCGAGUUCACUUCAUGUCUACGAACUCGUGUCUCGUGCUCUACGCAAUGGUGUAUGUGAAAUGGUCAAAUUCCUUUUCGGUCAAAAAGUCAACUUUUCAUUCAUAAUUUAUUCCAAGGGCAAAAUUAUCUUUCCGCAUAAUAAAUUACUAAUUAAAUAUGAAUUUUAGGUUUGGGUCAUUACAAAGAAGGUGAUGACUAUGGUUUCAACUUAGCUUAAGAGGAUGAGUGUUUCAAAUAUAGGAUAUGGCUUUUUGAGAAAGAGAAUGAGAAGAUGGGAGAACUAGAGCUUGAAUCUGGUGCUUCCAGGAGUGGGAGAGUAUGCUUGCUCCUCUGCUUGCAUUGGCUUUUUAGGAUAGAGAAGAAGGAGAUGGAAGGGAAGGUAAUUGGGCUUGAUGUUUCCAGCAGUUAAAGGAUAAGCUCGUUCCACUACUUUGGUUGAGUUAAGUCCCCCUUGCUGAGUAGCCAAUAGCCUCCUUUUAUGGGCGCUGGAACCUUUUUUUACCCUAGAAACCCUAGAUGGUUUCUUCUCAUUUAGCCAAGUCUUCUCAUUUCUUUCUUUUCACUUUCUCUAAUAUGGCCUUAAUCAGUGAAGUCUCCCUAAAAUCAGCUAAAUCCAUGGCUAUUGGGACAAAACAUUUUGGUGCCCCAAAACCUUCCUACAGUUGGACCUUGUAGAGGCUUCAUUUCCAGGCAAUGCUCCAUCUUGGCUUUCCUUUAUCUUUUCGUGCGUGAGCUUAUAUGGGUAAAGAUGGGUAAGGGUGAUGAGCAAAUGGAAAGGUUGAGGCUUAUCUCUUUCAUUAGCCUAAUAUUUAUGUAAACUGAAUUUUAAGGGUUUCAGUUUCAAUUAAGCAAGGCUAGUCCGAUCUCAUGGGAAAAGGUACUGGAAUUUUUCUCUUACUUACCCAUGUGUUGGGUUCAAGAAAGUGGAGGUUUUGGUGCUCCCAAGUAGCCCAAAACCUCCAUCUUUUAAACCCUCAAUGAGCCUUAUGGACCCUCAUACCCAUCCACACCACAACCCGCUGAACAAGCCCAAGACAUGUAUGUGGCUUGGGCCCACUUAAGCUUGUUGGGUGGUUUGGCACUAAAGGGAGUCGCUUGGCAUGUCAUGUUAUUUGCGUGCUUAUGCUUGGGCUAUGUUGUAUUGCAGUGGCUAGGGGCUGUGUUAGAUAAUGCUUGACGAAGAAGUGGGCUAGGUGAGCUCGAGCAUGUGACAUUGUUAAACUUUACACGUUUGCAUGUGAAAUUGGUAAACCCGUAUCAUGACCUCCCCACAUGCCAAAUUCUAGUCUCAUUUGGCAUGGUGCGAAUAUCAAAGCUUGUUUAGACACUUCGUAACUUAUUUGAUGGGCAUCUAUGUCCCUUUUAUAGCACGGUAAUGAAUUGGGCCUAAAAUUAUACACGAACCUUCCUUGAGAUUUUUUGGGCCUCAACAAGAGGGUAGACUACAUAAUAGCCGACAACCGAUAACGCUCAUUAGUGUAGAGGUACUUGCCUAAUCCCUAAAAAUUAGCCCAAUUUUUAUAUUUGUUUCAUUCAUCAUCAUUAAUAAACUACCAUCAACUUCGUGUCAAAAAAAAGAAGAUGUUAACAUGCUUGAAAAUAACUAGAAAAAAUGAAGAAUAACAAAAACUAGGGGUGGGUAUAAAAACCGAUAAACCGAUCAAACCGACCGAACCAAACCAAACCGAACUGAAAAAUAAGGUUUUUUUGACCAAACCGAAAAAGUCAACGCUGGACCUGAACCGAACCGUUGACUUCGGUUUAGCCUUCGGGUCUAAAAUUUUUUGAACCGUUGGACCUGAAUCGAACCGACCAUUAUUUAAUUAUAUAUGCUUUUGACACAUGGCGUUGUCUCAUUGGCUUAAAUAAGAACUUUGGGUGGGUCUGCUUGCACUAUAUUAGAACCUCUCUCAAUUAUUUAUUUAUUAUUUUUUCAAUAACCCUCUCAGACUCUCUCUCACUCACUCGGCCUUCUCUCUCUCUCUCUCUCUCUCUCUCUCUCUCUCACUCAUGAAACUCACGAAACGAAACCCUACACUAUUUCUCUCCCGAUCUGAGACUAACCCUCACCUCAUCGGCCGCCGUCCCUUGGCUCUCUGUCUCUCUCUCGACUCAUCCCUUGGCUCUCUCUCACUCUUCACAUCUUUAAGUCUCUUAGAGUCGCGCGAGACUCAUUCUCUUUCUCCAAACCGAACCAAACAUCAUCCAAUUUUAUUGGUUUUUGGAGCAAAUCCUUGUAAAUUCUGGAGGGCUCUGGUUCAUUCUAAGGUAAUUUGUAUGUAUUUGGUUUGAAUUCUUAGUUGUUUUCAUUUUCCCUAAUUUAGUAGAUUAUUAGGGUUUUGAAAUUUUGGUAUUCUGUUGUAAUUAACACAAUUUGUUCUUAAUUUUGCAGUAGUUGUGCUUAGUCUCUGUGGGUUUGGAUUAAUAGGCAAAAUUGAAGGUAUAAAUAUUUCUGUCUCAAUCUCUAUUUGUGGCUUAAAAUUGAAUGUGUGCAUUAGAAUUACAUAUUUUUAUAUCAUCAGCUCCACAUGGCUUUACUUUCGAUGUAUGGAUUUUUGGUAUUUAAUGUGCAAGCAAUUUCUGUGGCUUUUCUUUGAUAUGAGUAUGUUUGAUUCUUUCACAAUUUUCAAAGGACCACUGGUUUCGGCGCUUUCUGUAGUUGUGUUAAAGAUUUGAAGUUCUUAGUCAGCCAGUUGACUUAGUUCAGUUUAUAGAAAGAUGUAGUGUUGUUUGAAAUCAGGAAUUUGAGAGUCUAUUCAAAGUGAAGGAUUGAAUUCUGCUUGGUUGCCUGGAAAAUCCAAGAUUUAAAAAUAUUUAAUUUCUGGAAAGUGAAGCUCAUUUCAACCAUGCCGAAUAGAUUUAUUAGUUCUCGCUGACUAAUUUUCAGUUUUUAAGGUUCAAAAGAAUAAAGUUUCUGAUAGUCCAAGCUUGUAGUUUCUUUCUUUUCCUGCAUUGUCUUAGAACUGAACCAAAUUUUUUUUUCCUUGAACUUGCAACUAUUUUAAAAUUGAUAACUCGAAAAUAAUUUCAUUUGUUUCCUUGCUACAGUUUCAUCUUUCUUUUUCUUGAAAAUUAUGGUGUGAGGAAGCUGGAAGCAGUGUUCGCGGUUCUGAUUGCAACAAUGGCACUGUCAUUUGCAUGGAUGUUUGGGGAAGCUAAACCCAGUGGCACCGAACUUCUUAUUGGUAUUGGAUUCUACUCCUCUAUCUGUGAUUUUUCUUAUUAGUUAUAUAUAAAACUGUGGUGGCCAAUAUGAUAUGUGGAUGGAACAUUCUUGUUUGAUUUCGUUUAUGCUUUUCUAUGCUGCUCUCUUUUGAUUCAUACUUUUCUGUUGGACCCUAUUUUAUUGCACUUAAGUUCAUUUCAGUCUUUCAUUUGUGUCCCCAUAUGAUUUACUUUUUGUAAUGUAUAUCUAUCUUUGUUGUUGCUGUUUUGAGUGAAGCUUGUUUAUGGAACAAAUGAAGCUUGUUUGUAACCUAACCCUUCGUUUGAUUUCAUUCACAAAAGAUGGAGUUCUAUGAAUCAAUUGAAAUGGGUAAUAUUUUCAUUUCUAUAAGUAUAUUUGAAUCCGAUUAUUUUCUUAUUUUUAUGUGUUCUAACUCAAAUUGGUUUGAUUUAUUUUAUUAUACUUUGUAGAAAUGGGGAGUAAAACAUCCAUGACAAAUUUGAAUAAGACUCUCCCUUCUUAGUGUGAUUAAGAUAUGUUGGAAGGUAUUUUUAUUGCAUCUUAUUUUAAUUAUGAUUUGUUGAUGGUGAAACUUUGUGUUAAUUCUUUUAAGUGUUGUGUAGGUUGCUUUGUGAAGGCUUUUGGAAGAAUGGAUGCAGCAGAUUUUUUGCAAGGAUAUUAUCUCUGUGUAUUUUUGUGAUGGGUUGUAAUCUUUAAUGUCAUAAGUUUAAUUUGGUUUGUGUAUUAUUUUUUGUAAUGGUUUGUAAGAGAUUAUAUUUCCUUUCCUUGGUUGGUUGGUUGAAUUGAAUGUGUGUAUGUGAGAUUUAUUUAGUUUAGAAACUUAGAUUGGAAUGAUGGAUUUUUAUAGCUUGAAUUUACAUAAUUUCAGGUUUUGAAAGAGAAGUAAAAAGUGUUUUGGGCUUGUUCAUAAGAAUUUAAUAGGUUUUGGCAAUUUGACAACAAAAAAAAGGGUUUUGGCUGAAAGGAAAUCGGAUUUGGGCUUUGUUUUACUAAAAAAAUAUGAUUUGGGCUUUUUUUGGCCGAAAAAAAAAUAAGAUUUGGGCUUUUGGAAAAUUGAAAAAAUGGGCCCAAGCCCAAACCGAGAAUAAAUCAGAACCGACCCGAGAACCGAGCCCAUUUUCGGUUCGGCCCAUUUUCGGGUUUCAUCCUAGACCCGACCCGACCCGAGAACCGAGCUCUCCUUCGGUUUGGCUCGCGGGUCGGCCAAAAUUUGACCCGACCCGAACCGUGCCCAGGCCUAACAAAAACACCCAACUUAGGUCCAAAUUGGGCGAAUCCAAAUCAAACCAAAUUGCACAACAAUGAUUUGUUUUGUUUUGAUUUCACAUGUGAUUUUAGUUAAAAUCAAACCAAACCGAUUCAAUAUGGUAAUUAAUUUGACUACAGUUUGAGAGUAAAUUCAAUCCAAUCCGAACCUUGCUCUCAAAUAUUAUCCAUACACACACAAAAUCAAAAUCAAAAUGCUGUAUUUUUUUCUUUAAAAAAUAAUAAUAAUAAUAAUAAUUUUUAAUAAUAAAAAUAAAAAUUUAUUUCGGAACAGCUCUCCUGCUGCUGGUCCUUUAGGAAGAGAGGUUUAAGAGCGAGAGAACUAAAACCCACAAAGGUGAAAGCCACGUUGAACCACUCUCUCUGUCUCUCUGUCUCUCUCUCGCUCUGUAAAAUAAGUGAGGCGAAGAUGUUUCUGCGACAAGCAGCAGCUAACCUGAUCAAGAGGCGUUUCCGUUUGCCCUCUCAAACUGUCUCUUCAACUUCCGGAACAACUACCAUUCCACUCUCCAGUACGCAACUUUUCUUCUUAUGAAUCUUAUGAUGUUAAUCACCAAAGCAAGUUGACGUUAGCGAAUACAUAAUCAAUUUGUAAUUAAGGAAGGUGUAUUGUUGCUGUUCUUGUUGCAGGCCGUACCAAAUUUUCUUAUCAAUAUCAUGGUCCUAAAGAUUUUAGUUGGAGGAUGAAUUAUAGUCACAGGGACCCUCGUGUAUGGCUUUUUCUAUCUGGAAAUGCAGGUAUGUGACAUCUCUUACAACCCAUUUACUCUUGGAAUAUAAUAAAUGAUAAAUGAGAUAUGUUAUGAUUUUAGAGUUGGAAUGAGUGUAUAUGCAUGCUUAAUCAUUAUAUGCUGAUAAUUGGCAUAUGGGUAUUUUGAAAAAUCCGGUUAGAAGAACCCUCUUUUAUGAGCCAAUUUAAAAGAUGGAAUUUUUAUUGAAACAGAGUUUCUACUUCUCUUUUCUGGAGGACUUAUUAUAUCAGAUUAUCAUGUCCCCCUUUUUUUAAUGCUUUAUCUAGCUUAGUCUACCCAUAAUCUGAUUAAUGAAAUACUUAUUUAUCUAAUCCAUAUUCCAAAUUUCAUCUGCCUUCGGUUUUAGGUAAAGGUAAGAUCAAAUGUAGAUGACCCCAACUAAUAAGCAUUUUGGUUUUUAUUGAGUUGAGUUGUUUCUGAAUUAUUUUAUUAUCCUGGGGUAUUAGCUGUUUUAUGUGAAUGUAAUAUUGUUGAAUUAUGUUGGGAAACCUGAUUUUUUAAGUGCUUAAAAUAAAGUAUUUUAUGUUGCAGGACAUGCGAAAUGUUUUUACUCUUAGCUACUUUAUAUACACAAUUAGUCAGAUAAUUUUUGCAAGAAAUCUAAGGCCAUGUGGUGAAGUACCUCAGUAUAACUUAGGGUUUGUUUAGAAAGACAUAACCAUAUAACGUAUGUUAUCAAUAGCUAUUCUAUUAUCUUUGCAGCAAUUAUUUUUACGAUACAUUCCAACACUGUCUUAGCAAAAGAUGCAUCAAUUGAAUCAAGUCCUGAAAAUGACACCGAAGGGGCAGAAGCCAUGGGAUUACGCAAGAUUGAGGACGGCUCUGUCAUAUCAAAUAUACAUACUUCUAAGUGGAGAGUUUUUACUGAUAAAGGGAGGGAUUUAUUCCUUCAGGAAAGGAUUCUAUGCCUACAUUCCUUCGUUGGCUUGCUUAUUUUGUUUAUUUGAUAGUGUUUUUAUCUUACCAAAUCUUUGGUUUAUUUGGUUCCAACUGCUAGGGAAAAUUGGAGGAAGCUGAAAAGCUUUUCCUCUUAGCUUUACAAGAAGCUAAAGAAGGCUUUGGAGAGAGGGAUCCGCAUGUUGCAUCUGCAUGCAACAACCUAGUACGCGCUUUCUUGCUGCCUUUAUGAUCAAUUUGUUAUUAUGGUAGUCCUCCUUAAGUUCAUGUGAGAAUUGUAGAUGACCAAAAAAGAGAAGAAUAUGACUAAACUGUAAAUACUAGGAAUUAAUUGAUCCAGAAGCUUGAUUGUUUAUUGACAACAAGAUUUAGGUUCUGGUUGUCAUUUCUAUCAUCAAAGGAACUGUAAGUAUUGUAUACGCGCUUUUUUUUUCCUUCUUCUUCUUGGGACCCUUGUAUGUAAUGACAAGUUAUAUUUUUAUGUUGUUAUUGUUUCAGGCAGAGCUCUAUAGAGUGAAUAAGGCAUAUAAUAAAGCAGAGCCAUUGUACUUGGACGCCAUCAGCAUACUGGAGGAAUCAUUUGGUCCUGAAGAUAUACGGUAUACUAUGGAUAUUCUGCAGACUAUAGCAGAGAAUGCUUACACAUUAUUUAAUGAUAAAGAUAAAAUUCCGGUUUACCAUUUCUUGUGUGUAACAUUUGAAAGCACACUAAGUUGCAUUUCUCUAGCUUCAUAGCAUAUGUUGGCUGCGUUUAAUUAAUUUGUUGGUAUAGGUUUUUUUUUUUCUGUUUUGCAAUUAGUUUGAUAUGAACAGGAAUUGAAAUAUCAAUAUUGAUUGUAUCUAACCUAGAAAUCAAUAUUGAUUGUAUCUAACCUAUAAAUGAAGCAUAUGUAAAAAUACAUGUAGGGCAAGGAGAGGGUCUGAAAUGAAAGUUCAUUAGGUUGUAGUUCUCAGUGCAUCGUAUAGAGCUUCAUGUAGGAGUGAGAACAUAUCAUCAAAAGCAGUAUUUGUUGCAGGAUUUUUUAGAAUAAAUUCAAGGCAUUAGGUUGAACAUAAACAUAACUUAGUCAAUACUCUACAUGUCUCUCUUAAAUUAGUAAUACAGUUUGUGCUUCCACAGCAUUAGUACACAUUCAUUAUUUCUAUACUACCUUUGAACAUACAAGAGAAUUCAAAGUUGUUAUGAUGAUAGGGGGUCAUUGAUUUCAGGGACGUAUGUAGGAACAGUUGAGAUAUAGAAUGAGAAAUUCUUUCUUCGAAGAAAAUCGACCAAUGAUUGGACACUAGUGGUCUCAGUCUUUUCUUCAAGUUUUAAUCAGUCUGGUGGUGUCCAAUCAGCAUUGCAGCUUUGAUUUUCAUUGUCCAGCUUCUUAUGUGGUUUGAAAGUCAAUGGUUUAGGAGUUAAAAAACUUAAGAACAGUGGGAAAGCUUAUAGAAAACUGUGUAAGAUUAUAAUUCUUGGUCUGUUUAUUUUAUGGGUAUUUAUAUGAGCUUAGUCUUAGACUUUUUUCUAAUAGCUUUCUAGAGACCUACUUAUGUCUUCUUUGGUGCUAGAAGUAUGUUAAGUGCUUUGUGAUCUUUGGGGAAUCACUAUCUUACUGGAAUAAGGAAGAGUUCGUACUUUUCAUUAGCAAUUAUGUUUCCUUUGGUGGAAUAUUCGGUGCUAUGAGUUGGAAAUGAGGUUUGCCAUUGCAGUUUGGUGCUGUAUGUGUAAGUGAAGUGAGAAACCAGUGGAACAUCUAUUGCUCCACUGUUUAGUUGCGAGGGAUCUAUGUUUAUAUUUCAUUCAUUGGGAUCAAUUGGUUUCUGCGUAAAGCAGUCUCAAAGUUUGGUUCUGGAGUGGUUGCUUUAGCAAGCACUGGUAUAGGGAAAUUGCAAAACCACUUCCCUUAUGCCUGUGUUGUAUUUGGAACAAACGAGAUGCCAUGAUUUUCAAAGAUAAGGAAAGCUUCCUAUAGAAAAGUGAUAAGGAAAGCUCAGGGUGACAGAUGACGUUCAGAUUUGCAACUUUUUCUAUCAUUGGCUGUUCUUGAUGAAGUGUUGUCUUCAUCUUUGAGGACUUUCUUUAUUUUAGAUUUUAGUCUAGAGUUUUCUGGGUUCUCUUGUAUAUUAUCCCUUCAAUAGAGAAGCCUUGAUUCAAUAUUAACAAAUUUAUUACUUAUCUAAAAGGGGGAAAAAAAAGGAGCAACUUAUGUGCCUUUGUAUGGGUGCUGUACUGCAUAUAUUUUGAUGGAAGGAACUGAAAUAAGUAUAUUUUGUGCUAUGGUGCAUAACAUAAAGUUUGUUUUCUAUUCCUUUAAUAUUUCUCCUUAAUCAUGCAAGUCUGACAAAAUUAACAAUGACAGUAAACUUUGAAAAACAGAGUCUUCUGGUGUUAUAAACGAGGGAACGAUCUGAGAGGGUUAACAUGAGAGAGAAUACAUGAAACUAAAACUAAAAAAGGAAACUGUUUGAUAUUGUUUUUUAAUUUUUAUCUUAGGAAUCAUUCCAGACACAUUUUCUCCCCUCUUUCACUUUUAUCUUCUCUUUUAUCACCAUCCUCUCAUUUUUCCGUCUCUAUCUUUAAUUAAAAAUAGAAAUCACAUUCCAAAAACAAAAAUGUUACCAACAUGACCUAAACAAUUAUGUUCUCUAUGAUGAGUCACUAAUCACUCAUGCAAGAUCACUUGUCCACAGAGUUGGGUCUGCCUUUCACAACCUGGGGCAGUUCUAUAUUGUGCAACGGAAGCUGGAAGAAGCUCGCGUUUGCUAUGAGGUAAUAACUUUAAAAUCUUUUAUCUCCAGUACAUGUUUUGUUGUUAUGACUAUUGGUUCACCAACAGUGUCUAUGUGGUCUUUUCUAUCCUUUUAUGUUUUGUUAAUGUAGUAUGUGAUUGCUUUGAGGGUCAUGCUCGUGAUCUAGGGAUAUGGAGAUUUUUGUAUGUUUUGGCAGGUUUAUCCAGAAUUAUUCUGACUGGUAUGUUUUUUUUUGGUGCACCUAGUAUAUAUGCAUUUGAUUAUAUUUCUGUGUAAUAAAAGUUCGAGUUAUUUGAUUUGCCUCCUGCAUCUCCUCCCAACAUACCAUCAGUAUCAUAUCUUAAGCAAGGCAUGGAUAAUGUUUGCCUUGAUUUGAUAAAUUUUUCCUAUUUAUAACUGCUGAUCUUUUGCUGGUUUUCACAUUUCUGCCCGAUUGAUGAUACAUUUGGACAGCGUGCUUUGAAGGUAUUAGCCUGGGCUGUUUUUACAUACAUGUAGUAGUGUGAGUGUUUAUGCUGCUAACUCAUUGUUGUAAUCACCUUUUUCAGAUCAAGGCCCGUGUUCUGGGUCUUAAUCAUACAGAUUAUGCAGAUACUAUGUAUCAUCUUGGAACGGUAGUUUUUUGAAUCCUUGCAUGAUAAUACUGUUUGUACUACAUUCUUGUUUCUGUUAAUCUGUGUUAAGUUUAUUGUGCUUCGAAGAUAUUCUCUUGACGUAGACAUAGAUUUUAAUAGAGAAGAGAGAAAAGAGAAGAAUAGGUAAGAGACAGAAAAGGGAUGGAAGAAAGAGAAGUAUAGAGCGUGUCAGACAACCGACCAGAUCUGACUAUGUUAUGGUUUAACUUUUAAGGUCAUAUAUGUCUGCAGCACACAUUUGUUUCAUUUUACAUGUCGUAAAUUUAUAAAAGAUAUAUCAGUGUAUAUCUCGGUAAUGUUCACUAGUGUAUUCUAGCCCUCCACACCCCACCACACCCCCCCCCCCCCAAACCAAAAACUUUAGUUUCUUACAUAUCUCGGUAACCUAUUUAAUUAGGUGUAGUUUUGACUGCAGGUGCUACAACUCCAAGGAAAAGGAAAGGAUUCGGAGGCCCUUAUUCAGGAUUCUAUUAGAAUACUCGAGGUCAAGAACCACUAGAGUACUUUGUUCACUGUUUGAGCUUUAAUAUUCUUACUCCCAAUUGUUGUUUGACUAUAUAGGAUGGUGGCCAAGGGGAGUCAAUAAUGUGUGUCAAGAGAAUGCGAUAUCUUGCUCAGGUUGUGUUUUCUUCCAGGUUGCCAGUGUCACUCUUGUUUCAAAUGUAAUUAUAUAUGAGGAUUGGGUGUAUAUGUCACGUGAAAGCUUGAAUUGUGAGAGGAAGUCCUGUUUCUUAGAGGGUUGAACUAAAUUAGUUUUAUAACAAGUUAGUCCAUCGCCAUUUUGGAAAUUCUUGGAUAUAACUGAACUCGUUUCCCUAUGUAAAAGAUUCAAUUUUUAAAGGCUUGAAAUCAUUUGCAAAUGAGGGUGCCUUCUGCUGUAGAGAACAUUACCUUGAUAAAUAUCUCUUUUCUAUGUUUCAAACUCAAUGCUUUGGUCUUAGGCUUCCAAGAUUAAGUUCUUUCUCGUGAAACGCCUUGCUCGUUUAUGAUACCGGAUUUUGAUGGAAUAUUUAGCAUUUUUCUAACAACUGUCCUAAAAAUCAUGUAAUGAUUUGGUCCUUUAUUAUAUCAUUAUAUGACACUUCAUAGAAUCUUGAAGCCUUAUAUAAGUGUGCUUAGAAGAAAAAGAAAGCUUGAUUGUGCUUGAUUGUAAAUUAUUUUACAAAAUCUUCAUCAAAAAAAUUAUUUUACAAAAAACCUUACAACAUAUUUUGAUGUACCUUUUGUGGAUUUGUCUUCAUAGGACUCAGAUUUUAAUAUUUGUACCUUUGUAUAGGUUUGUAUUGGACUUCUUCAUCUUGCAAUUAAGUGUCUCUCUCUCUCUCUCUCUCUCUAGAUAUAUAUGAAAUCCAACCGUCUUGAGGAGGCUGAGAAGGUACAAAGAAAGAUUCUGCAUAUAAUGGAAUUGACAAAGGUUUGAUAUUUGAUUUUUAUCUUUAUCUUUUUCAUUCUAUUUAUGCAAAAGUUGGUUUAUUCCAAACAGAUUCUUACAUACCAUUUGGUGCAUGCUUAAAUAUAUGCAUUUAGACAGCUAGAUGUAUGCAUAUCUUUUUGAGUAAAUUACACUUCACACCCCUGAACUAUAGGGAUCAUUUCAUUUUUUACCCAAGUAUCAAAACAUUGCAAUGUAAACCCUUAAGUUUGUGUUGUGAUACAAGUUCAGCCUACCGACUGUUAAAUUUGAUGAAUUUUGCCUACAUGGCAUAUGUAGGCCCCCCUUUUUGAUGAUGAAUGAGGCCAAAAAAUACAUAAAAACCGAACAAGAUGACUGAAUAUGCUAAUGGUAGAAAUUGGCCACUUAUCUGAUUACAUUUGUUAAAAUGGGAGUUGACUUUGGUGACGACGUCCUAGAAUUGUUAAAUGUCUUACAGCAUGAGGCUUUAGGCUGUUUGAAAAUCCUAAGCUCUCGUCAGUCAUCAGUGUAUGGGAAGCAUGUGUUGAAUACUUUAGCACUUUCAUGAGUCAUGUUUUUCCUUAUCUUAUAGCUUCACUGUCUGUCUUCUUCUAUUUUCUUUUUUUGUCGGUAUUUUUAGUUGGUUUUUCAAGGUGAGGUCGUUGAUGUUCACAUGUGCUGGUGAGGAAUAAGUGCCUUGCAGGAAGUUAUAAAUUUGGGUUGUGCGUCAUGUUUGGCUAUGUGGAGGAAAGAAAUUUAUUUGCUAAAGUUGUUUACUCUGUUUGCAAGGUAGGGAUGGAAUUCAUUGGACACAGUAAUAACAGCUGAAGGGCUCGCGUUGAUCCUACAAUCAGCUGGGAGCUUAAAAGAAGCUGAAGAGCUUCUUGAAAGGUAAAGAGCAUUGUAAUUGAAAAUCAGAAUGAAGUGAUAUUCCAUUACUUGUUUGAGAAUUUUGUUGACUAAUUUCCUUGCAGGUGUCUUGAUGCUCGGAAAACCUUACUUCCUGAAGAUCAUAUUCAGGUUAAUUGCUUUCGCAUUCAGCUCAUAAAAAUAUCCCCUAUGCUGUGACAGAUAUAUUUUGAUUGCUUAUGAUUCUUAGGAGAAUUCAUUAUACUUCGUCUUAUUUCAUUAUGAAUACAUAGAAACAUUUUUAUUUUGUAUUAUGACAAAUAAAUUUUUUUUUGGCGUAAAUCAUGACUCUGUACAAUACAAGAUACUUUGACCUGGCUUCUCUUUUGCAACAAUUAACUGCAUCCAUACCUCAAGAUUUCUUAUUAUGCCCUAUAAUAGUUAAAGUUUCAUGUUAGACUGACUUUUCAGUUGAAAAAGUAAUGAAAAAGAUUUUUAAUACUUGGGGCCUUGGGUAUAUAGCAAAUUUAAGUAUUUAAACCUCUACAUAUUUAUGUAUUUACACAAGUUCGUGUCAUGUUUGGAUAGAAGGAAGAGGGUUGCAAUGACAGACAAUGCAGAACAUUGUUGCAAGCAGUAGCAUAAAUGAGAAUGACUCAUAUAGUUGACCAGUUUCUUGGGAUAACCUUUAGUGGAUUUGAUUAAAUUUCUGUGUUUAUCGAAAUGUGAGCUGUCAUUCUGUCAAAUUUUUUGGGUUCUUUUUACCCAUAAUUCCAUUAAAGGAAAAUAUAGCAUACACUUUGCAACAGGCCUGAUUUUCUGUGUCAAUGGACAGAUUGGUGCGAACAUGCUUCACAUGGCUAGAGUGGCAAUACUCAAUUCCAACCAACUAAAGAAGGUGGACACUUCUAAAGCAAUUUGUGAGCUUGAGAAGGCCAGAGAUAUUUUAAACGAGUCCAUAAGGUUUGUUGUAUUUUCUCAUAAAUUUUAAGGAAAAGAGUUUGUAACCAUUCAAAUGGAAUUGAAAAUCAUGUGCUAAUCAAUAUAAUUGGAGUCCUCUGUAAUUUACCCUUCAAAACAAAACCUAUCAUUUUUUUUUCUUUCACUAGAAUCUCUGAUUACACUAAAUUGUUUAUUUUCGUUUUAUCCUGAAUUUCUAUGCGACUUGCGAAUCUUCUCUUUGUUAUACUAGAGAGAAUCUAAUACUUUUUUGCAGUGAUGAUGUUUCCAAUUUACAUACUGGUUUCAGAUUUGAAUUUCUGUUUUAAUGCAUGCAAACAUUCCCACCUCAUACGAAACUGCGAGUUUAUCGAAGAAUAAAUAACAUGUGUGAGUGGGACUCAAAUUGAACUGUUUAGUCAUCAUAUCUUACUAGGUUCUGUAGCAUUAGGCCGUUAAUAGGCUCAUCAAGAGGUCAAUUUUAAUAGGAUAUUAUUAAUACCUAUUUAGUUUUGCCUUUGGCUGAGGAGAGAAUGUUAGCUUGUGAGAUGUAUGAUGAUGUUAAUUGGUACUUGGCAUGUAGAGUAUAUUAUAACUUAUGUACUUUAUACUUUGUAUGUUUCACUCUUUCAUUCAGUCAAUAUUGUAUCACAAAGUAGUUAUUGUAUGUUUCUAUGCAUGAAGUGUUUUCAAAAUAUUGAAAAUAUCACUAGGCUAAACUUUGCUAUUCCCAUUUUAUAAGAAUUCAUCUGUGUAAAUGCUUACAGCUUUAUUUUAUGUAAUAGGAUAGCACGGUCUUCUUUAGAUAAAUCAAUGAGGCAAAAUAGAAAGAUACAUAGUUAUGGAGCAUCAGGUGACAUUGGAAAGAAUUUUCGUGUGGCAUUGGUCAUACUGGUCAGUUUUCUUCAUCGCAAACAAUGUAUUCCUCAUUGAAUGUGGAUUUUUCAGUAUAAUUUACCCUCUCUCUCUCUCUUCACACGUGUUUUUCGUAAUUUUAUGCAUGGAUUUCUGAAUGCAUAUCUCUGGUUCUGUUCUGUUAAAUUAAGUCAAAUGCAUUGCUUGUAUAAAUUUGUAAUUUGUAUCUCUUAUUUCUUUUACAUUAUUCACUGCUGGUGUUACCAGAUUUGAGAAUCUAAACUAAAAUGAUGAUUGGAAUUCAUGAAGUAUGAUCAUAUUGUAAUUUCCUAGAAAAGAAGUAUUCAAGAAAUAAUGCAGUAGGAAAUUUAGAUAUUGUCCUUUCUACACUUUAUCAUUGGAGAGGGUUAGAUUAUAAAAUAAUUACUAUACCAAUAAUAAAGUAGGAGGAUCAGAAAUUAGGUAGAGUCCAAGUGAGGUGAGAGGAGUUAUUAAAUAAAGCAAGAAACGGAUAAUAAAAAGUGUUUUUCAGAAAUUACCCCAACUGCAUUACACUCUUUAAAUAAAAAGCUAUCAAACAUACUUUUUGCUUAAGUUCUAAAAAUUUAAAAACAAAUUAAAAGCUGAAAAAACAAAUUACUUAUUGCCAAACGGGCAUAAUUCUCUACUUCAAAUUUAAAGAAAAACACAAAGUGUUAUAAUUCUCCGACCAAUAAAAAAGUGUUAUAAUUCAAUUAAAGAGUACUCUUUAGCUGUGCUUAAGGAGACUUUGUUCAUUGCACAUCAGCAACAUGGAUAAUAAGUGUUCGUUACGAAAAAUGAUUUCACUACCAUAUGCUUAUAUUUGGUUAUUGUAUUAAUGUUAGGUGCUUCUGAGUGGAUUUUAUGUAUAAGAGUGCAGUUAUAUUUUGUUAUUAUGUUAAUGUUAGCACAUAUUUUGUUAUAGACAUUUUCCACUUUGGGUUUCAUGGAUAUAUGUACUUACAGUUGCAAGCGUUUGAUGCUCUUGGCCUUUUAGCGAUCACUAAGCAAGAGUUACAGGAGUCAAAGGUUAGUAUCCAGAACUCUAAUGGUCAUGAAGAACUACUGUGUGCUCAUCACAAAUUUGAAGAUGAUAUGGUCAUAAAUUGGCUGGUUAUGGUACAAAUGAGUUGUAGAAAGUAAUUGGCCAUUAACCAUAAGCAGCUGAUUUAAAGUAAUGGCCCCAACCAUAAGCAGCUGAUUUAUGAAUACAUUUUCAAAUUACAUUUUCCAUCAAGAUUCAAAUUGGAUGCUUUCAUGUAACUUCUUUUUGAGUACUUGUUGAGGCCUGACUGAGCAGCCAAUUUAUAAUGACCUCAAAUAACCUCUUCAGAUUACAGUUUCUGUUUCUGUUAGGCAUUAGCUUUCGCAUACAGUAUUAAUCAUCUAAAGAUUUAAUAAUGACCCUAAUACUUAUUUUCUACAGCUCAUUAGUACAGUAAAGAAAAACUGUGAUUUGCACUUACUUUUCAUCUUAUAUUCUGCCAAUUCAAAUUUGCUGACCUAUUACUUUGAUUGCAUAACUUAGCAGGAUGAGUGUUUACCUAACUCCGAAGCUGAGAGUGCACUAUUAAGAUGCAUUUCUACUUACAAAGAGGUACCCUUUUCCGAGAGUAUUUGAUGUUCUUUUUUCCAGCUCUGAAACAAUAUUGGUAUUAUAACUGCUCAUAGGCGCUUUUGCAAGAAGCCUUGUUAUUAGAAGCACAUUGAAAUUUUAUUAAAAAUCCAAAAGAAGCACUUGAUUCUCCAGAAAGCAUUUUUAUGACCCAUAAACAUUUUUAGUUUUAUGUCAAACGCUAUCAGAAGCGCUUUUAGCUAUUCCAAAAGCAGGUUCAAACAAACCAUGUUAGUAACGCAAGAAAGUGUAAAGUAAUAGGGUACUAACUAAUGGAAAAUACUGUGGGAAGUCAGUGGUACACUUCGUGUAGUUUGCCUUUUAAAAUUGUGCCCUAUUUCUUCACAUUUUUAAUGCAAGACUAUUGUGACAUCGUUUCACCAUAAACAUCUUAGCCUUAAAUUUUUCAAAGUUUGAUAUGCCUUACAAUUGUGUUUGCUUAGUUAUUUAUGUGUUUAUCUAUUUGUAGUUUGUAACUGAGAUGUCAAUUGCGGAGUUUCCUGAAGUAAAGGCAGAGUAUCUUAAAUGUUUGAAGCAUCUUUUGAGCUUAAAUGGUAAUAGCACUACCCAAACAUCACAGCGAUCUACCAGAGUCAAUUUGCAAGAUUUGAGAGAUGAAAUCAAGCGUCUGGAACUUCAACUCUCUCCUUCUAGGAAUCGUAAAAUCUAAGCCGCCAGGCUGCCGAUUCUUGUCGCAGCAGCGGUUACAGCCCCACGUGAAUGAAGAAAAUCCCCUUUGUAGUUAAGCCAAUUAGCACCAGCUAUAACUCUCAAUCAAUGUUGGUAUAAAUUCCAGUUUCCGUGUAUUUUAGUAUUGGCUUUACUUUUGGUUUAAGUUUGAUUUAUUUCUAAUUUAUUUUCAGCAAUACUAAUUCUGAUGCAAAACCUAUAUACCAUUACCGUUGCACCUACUUUUGCUCAAAUUCGAAAUUUUUUGGAAGUUAUGUUUAAUGUUCAUGUACUUACAACUCGACCGGGUGAUUAAUACUAAACUUUAGGGUUAUUCAAAAUUAAUGUUAGGAAGAUAUGUUAAAGAUGUAGCGAUAUUUUGAAUCCAAGGAUUAAACUCUUCUUAAACCAAUUACGUCUCAUUUUCCUGUGAUAUAUAAGUUUUUCUCAAUUGCACUUUAUUGUCCCCAUCACAGGUGCUACGAAGACUUGUGUAUGACAGGUGGCGGUUUUCUAGCGUUGAUGGGACUUUAUUUUUGGGACUUUGGAACCACUUUGUUGGUGUUUUGCUCCAUUUUGUUUUUUUGUUAAACCAACUGCUUUUCAAUUCGGAAUGUUUCUGUUUGUCCUAUUUCCUAACUUAGCACAAUUCACUCUUUAAUAAUAUGUACUCCAAGUUUUGGAAUUUGGUGGGACUUUGGAAUCAUUUGGCCUGUGUGUUGCUUCAACUUUUGCAUUUUAGGCAAACCAAGUGUUUGUUUGUUUGUUUGUUUUUCUUAUUUAUCAAAGUUAUGAUGGGAGAGUGGGGAAAUUCAUACACACAUGAGUGCUUGAACUCAGAACCACUUGGGAGCACAUCAAGGUCUGGGUCAAUCCAACUAACAUCUCAUUGGUGCAAACCAAGUACUAAUAAAUGGUUUGGAUCGUUGAAAAAAAAAAUCGUAGGGGACCCCAAAAAGUGUCCCUUAAAUAAAAUUAUUUGAAGGAUCCUUCAAUAGAAGGGUACUAUAAAUAUAUAGGGAUCCUUCAAAUAAUUUUAUUUGAGGGACACUCUUUGGGGUCCCUUAUGAUUUUUUUUUUUUCAAUAAUCCAAACCAUCUGUUUUUAAGUCUACAUUCAUAAAUCAUCCUUGCAAAAAAUUAGACAAAUCGGAAACCGUUUCGACAUCUAAUUAUGUCCUAAAAAAUCAAUAAACACGAUGCUUCAAGAAAGUACUAAAAUUUUAAUAACUCAAUUGAGUAGUCAAAUGAUAUCGGAUUCAAGUAAUUUUUUAUAGAAAUCUUUGAAUGAUUAUCUAAAAAAUAGACGGUUUGAAUUAGUGAAAUACAAUACGGAGUGAGCCCUACAAGGGUGUCCCUCAAAUAAGAUUUGAGAGAUCCCUCAGUAGAAUCUAUAUAUAUAUAUAUAUAUAUAUAUAUGUGUGUGUGUGUGUGUUUUUUUUUUUCCAUUCUGUUAUUGUUUAGGAUAUCAAAUGUUUAAUUGGUCAUUUAGAGGACGUUGAACAAAAGCAUAUUUAAAGAGAGUCGAUUUAUUGGCAUACAUAGUAUAGUAUUAAUAAUACACAUGUCAUAAUAUAAGUGAAUUGUGAAACCAUGUAAAGGUGUGACUAUUACACUAACAAGAAUUAUUCGUGUUGUAAUCUCUAGGUUUAUUUUUUGUUUCCAAAAUGAAAAUGAGACAUUGGAAACUUCGUGCACAAUACUACACGUUGCUGCAGCUUCAACCAUGACAAUUGAGUGGUAAUCAUGAGCAUAUAGUAACGGAGAAGAUUAAUUAUUAUCCAAUGCCAAGCAAUGGCGUGCCGUAAUUGCACCUAGUUUAUUGGAUAUAUGUAGCGAUCAGUUAAUGGGAUUCAAAUUUCAUUUCCAUCCAAGAUAAAAUAGCAUUAUUUGGACAUUUAGAAAAAAAUUAUUAACAUUUCCGGCUGACAAGUAAUAACAAUACAAUGACUGUAACAAGGUCGAUUUUUAAAAAGAGAAACUUUCAUGUCACGGUCUAAAUCAUUGUGCGUGUCUAUUUCUUAACCUCAGCACAAAUGAGAAGGAGACAGACGCAAAAGUAAUUGUCUUGUAAGAAAAGAGACAUACACAAAGUUGCAAACACCCUUGGAAGUUAUUUUAGGACCCCAACUUUCCACCCACCAUAAAGCUUUCUGGACUUCUAGGAACCCCAAUGCCCAUUUCCAUUGAAUGAUCGUAUUCAAUUCUGACAAUGCUAGCUGCAGGACCAAACUGCACCCAAAGAUGCAAACAGUCGCAUGAGAUUUCGUACCCUUUACUUUGGAAAAAUAUAAAGACAACUAUACAAAAGAUUAAAACGACAAAAACCAAAUUUGCUAUCGAUGUAGCGUGGAACUUUCUUUUCCCACAUAUUUCCAAAAACCCCCCUAUGUGUCCAUUCAUUUUCCAAGCUAUUAACUUACACCCCUUAUCCCCUAUUAUUACUCUAUAAAGUCGUAAACUCAAAACAUUCAUCAUGGAGAGAAGAAAGAGUAGGAGAAGCUGCAAUGAUGAAUUGGCAUUAGUAAAGGCAGCUGCAUGGGCAUGGUUUCAACAUGGAUCCGGGACCGACGGCAAACCAGUUAUGCCGGAAUUUGAUGUCAGAAGGACUUGUCAUGCUCCUUAUAAACCAUCCAGGUACAAGCUAGAAGCUAUGUUGAUUUCUAAUAUUAAUAAACAAGGCAUGGAAUUUGAAGGGUUGAAAUCACUAAGUGUUGUUGAGAGUAUCUCUGAUCAUUCGCUUCUUGAUACAUAUGAAAUUGAGAGUAUUUCCCGGAAAUUGGAUCAACUUAUAGAGUCUAGUGGUGAAGGCAAACUGUCUAAGGGGUUCCUAGCUGGAGAUGUUCUUGGUAGAAACAAGGCCAAACCGGGAGGCAGAGGCUCAAACUCUGACCUUGAGUGCGGAGAUAAAUGUUCGCUACCACUCAAGUUACAAGCUUCUAAUCUUGUUGAAGAUAAUCGUCGACAAGGAAGAAGUGAGUCACUAAUGGAUGGUAAAACAAAUGGGAGGAAGAACAAGAACAAGAACUUUACAGGGUUUUGGAAUAGGCAUGCAGCAAUAUGUGGCAGAAGUGAUGAUGUUCUAAACACAAAAGCUUUCGUGGUUAGUCGUCGCCGGCCGCGGGAAAAGGGUGUAUAGUAUUAUUAGUACCGGUGGUUAAGGUGGCCAACUGUCGGCCACGGGCCACGCAGGCCUCGUGAUCAAUUGGAACAUUAAGUUUUUUCUUUGCUUUGGUCGUUGGCUGUGUAAUACUUUGUCUACAGUUAGCUCAACUGUCCUUGAAUGCUUCACUUAGUUUUACUAGUUGUCAAGUUUCAACAUAUAAAAUACAAACGCAACCGAUAUCCAAUUUUUUGAAGUAUUUGUCCCUAGUAGAUGAGGUUUCCAAAGUGUUUAUGAUCGCUGCAAUUUUGUAUUUGAGGAUCCCUAAAUUAAAGAUAUAUAUAUUUCUAAUUUGAGGGACAUCCUUAUAGGGCUCACUUUCAUAUAUAUAUAUAUAUAUAUAUAUAAACAUUCAAAUAAGAGAAUAAUUAUAUAUAUAGCUAGCUACGAGUCUUUGAGGAGGCGUGAAGAAAUUGUAGGAGCUUUUUUUGUUCCAGCAACUACAGAUGAAUGGGCAUCGGCUGUUGUAAAGAGCAAAUAGGUGGAUUUGCCCCUAUGUCUAAGUUCAAGAAUCAAGCCUCAAGAGUGCUUCGAAAGGUUCAUGGAGCCUUAAGAAACACUUUGGCUUUCUUCACCAACAAAACCAACAGUUGCUUACAGAUAAAGAUUUAGGCUUGGCUUGAGAGACUUGUGGCAUGAGAGCUGAACAUUUAUGAGUUUAGCAUAAAAGAGAGAAGGCUUGGAUUUUCUAUAAGAAACAGAGAUUCAAGGUAAAGGGAGAGGGAGUUUUGUGAGGAUUUGUUGAGGGAAGAGAGGGAAAGAUGAAGGUGGAAGAAUGGGUGGCUUUAGCAGAUUUCCAGCAGCUUGACGAAAGCUUCGUCAGACUCUUGGAUGGCUUGUCAGAAGAGAAAAAGGGGGGAAAAUGGAAGAAUAUAGCUUGAAAUCGAAGGAUUCCAAAGGUGAAAGGUGAUGCUUGCUCUCUCUAAUGUGUUUAUGGGAAAGAGAGGAAGAAGAUGGAAGAACACAACUUGAAAUUGAAGCUUUCAGCAAUGAGUAAGGAUGUUACUCGCUCUGGAUCUCCUGUUUUGCUGGGUAGAAGGUGCCUCCUUUUAUAGGCACUGGAAGCUCCUAAUUUUAUUAAGUCUUCUUGUCCAUUUUUCCUCACUUUUUUCCAUUCAAUCCUCUUUGGUGAAAUCUCCCCAACCCUAGCACAUAGGAGUAGAGCUUUUUGGGGUUCCAAGACUUUCCUGGGGCUGGACUCCUCCAUCUGGGUGAGGCGCCUCUUGCUUUUCCUUUCUUGUUUUCCACCAGAGCUUGCAGAGGAAAUAAUGGGUAAGGGUGCUAGUCAAAAGGUGAUUUAUAAGUGUUGUGGGCUAUGGUUAUUGAAUAUUUUCUAAGAUGUUUGAGCCUUUUCUUAAGGUGAUGGGCUAUUGGGUUUUCUCUCUCAUGCUUAACCAUAUGUUUGUGCUUAAAGAAUGAGCUUGAGUUUUAGUGCUCCCAAGCAGCCCAAAACUUCUACUCCUUGGACCAUCAAUGGGCCUUGUGAAUACUCGUAACCAUUCAUACCACAACCCAUUCAGCAAGCCCCAAGCAUUCGCGUGGCUUGGUGCAAAAAUAAGGAUUUUUCGCUUGGCAUGGCGUGUUAUUUGGUGUGCUUGUGCUCUAGUUUUGCUAUUUUGUAAUGGCUAUGGCCGGGCCAAACUGGCGCUUGAUGUGAUAAUGAGCAUGGGUUCAUAGAACUAGUACAUUUUAGGGGCUUGUAACUACCUUUUUGUGUGGCAUGUUGCAUAUUUGCUUGGCGUGGCACGUGUGCAAGCGCAUAUAACGAACUCUUGCAUAAUUAAGUCGGGUUUCUUCCCAAGUUAGGUGUUAUACUGGGUUAGAAAUAUAUUUGGGGCCAACCUUAGAUUUUUUGGGCCUCAACAAAAAUCUACAAAAAUUGUUAUGCCUUGAGGGGUAGUUAAAAAAAUAUCAAAUAUGAUUAUGAUAUGCCAGGCAGGAUCUAGAGUGGACGCCUGCUUUGUAAAAAAAGUGCACACAUCAUAUUCUUGGUCGAUCCAAUAUAAUUCAAUUAUUAAAACUAUUUAUCUAUAACCAAAUUAGACAAAUUGAAAAUCGUUUAGUCAUUGAAAUUUUGCAAACAAAUACACUUCAAAUGACUAGCAUGGUAAGCGGUUAAAUGAUACUCAUUUAGUAGGGAUAUUUCUUGAAAAAAAUGACCUAAAACAAUUAUCUCAAUCAUUACACCUCAAGUUGGAGGAAAAUUUUAACUAGUUUAUUAAAAUGUGGACGUACACUCUUGAACUUUGUUGGUGAUUCAUAACUUAUGUGUUUAGAAGAAUAGUAAAGAUAUCAUAUUGUUGUAUCACAUUGUGUAUCAUUGAUGGACCCUACUUCUAUUAGAGAGGGAGUCCAUAGGAUCUGUCCAGUAUGACUCAUUUAUUUACGAGAAGGGACAUUAAAGAAAGGGAAAAAAAAAAAGGACAAUUAUGGGCGCAGCAUAUGGGGGGGACUUGGUAUAAAAUCCCUACCCUUCCUUUUCUCCGUUAAUUUUUGUAUUAUUAUUUUACGUGAAGAUCAUGUCAGCAUUAAGACAAUUUGGUUUGUUGGUUGUUUUGCUUUGUAAUCUUCGGACAUUUUAAUGUUUGUGUUGAAUAAUAGUAGAUGAGGGCCUCAGGUCUUUCCAAAUGGGGUGAAACCCUUUUGACAACCUUCCCUCUCCUAGCAAUCACCACCACCGACUCCUAAGAUUUGGCAACAGUCAAUCGCCACUCUCGUACAAAUUUUGAAUACAACUGAUAUUGCAGUGUUUAAUUUUCUGAAAAUGGCCACUCAAGGUCUAGCCGAGGUUGACUUCAUUUGGUCAAUACGUUUUUUUUUAGACUCAGUUUGGCUCGACUCACUGGUUUAAAUGCCCACCCACCCCUACUGAAAUAUAACUGACAUUAACGUUAUGGGAGGAAUUGCGUUGAGCAUUUCUAGUGAUAUCAUUUUCUUAAAAUGGCGUUGGCGGAAGUAGAAAUACGUGGCAAUAGUGCUGCCACUAAUCUAUAGUGGAGUAGAGAAGGAAACGUGGAAUAAGAGGGUGCUUUGACAUUGCCGCCGAACGGGUGGAAAAAUAGGAAUAGUUUGCGACGAUAGCACUACAGAUCUAAAAUACAAGGGCCAUCAAUUGUAUCAUAUCGCUCAAGUUAUAAUGCAGCAAGUUGCAGAGCUGUUGAGAAAUAAAACAAGACCAGAACCAAAUGGGGAGGGAGAUUAUAUUAAAAUUACAUUAUACAAAAACAAAAAUCCCAAUUAAAACCAGCCCUUUGAAACAUGUUAUCCAUAUCAGAUACUUAUUGAAGACAAUGGGCAUAAUCAUGAGGCCAGGAAGCAAUGACCUCA
rnacentral:lncRNA from 1 species